CAGAGGUGCGUCUCAGCCCCAGGAGGAUCCCAUUACAUUUUGGUGGUGAUCUGGAUCGCCUUCUGGAUCCAGGAAUUUUUUGAAGGAUUCUUUAUCAUUGUGAGAUAGGGCAAAUUUUGGAAUUUUUGCAUUUAACUCUAUAAAAAUGGCCAGAGUCUUUAGUAAAAAAUUACACAAAAGGAUCUCAAUGAGUUUUAUGAGGUGUCAAAGGUUGAUCCUGAUCCAGACAAAAUUCCGGAUACUGUGAUCCAGAGCACACAAAAAUAAGGGUGUCGUUGGAAUUUUCAGUGCUGAAAGAUAACCAAUGGGCAGCACAGUGGUGUAGUGGUUAGCACUGUCGCCUCACAGCAAGAAGGUCCUUGGUUCAAAUCUGGGUCAGGGCAUUUCUUGUUUUAGAAACACAAAUAAACGUUAAUAAAAGACACGUAACAGUAAAAGUUUUGGUGUGAAUCACAAUAUAAGGGGGGACAUGAGCUGCUUGGCGGAGGUCUGCGCUCUCCGAGUGCUUUUCUAGUCAGUAUUGUAGUCAGUAUUCACCAUCCCCUGCCUGAUAGCUAGCAGACUUUCCAGGUAAUUAUCCAGCCAACACACUAGCCUUGCUAUGUUAACAACAUAACUGUAGCAUAUGAAGCCUAAAAAGCUACCUUUGCAUUUUUACUCUAUUAGGAAUUGCUUGGUAAUUGAGUUUAAAUGAAAGGUGACUGAAAUCCACCCAUAUAUUUUGUCUUGAAACUUGUGUGGGAACUUGGCGGCUCCUCUCCAAAGUAACAAAGCUAUCAGCAGUCACACAGAAAAGAUAGCUUGAUGAUUUGAUUAUUGAUUGCUGAUGCCAAAUCCUAUGGUAAGACUUUUUUUUCCAGCUAUGCUAAAUAAAAGCCAAACAUCUUUGGCAGGAAAGUUUACUUGCCAUGUGUUACUCACUUGUGCCAAACAAUUUUGACGGAGAUUUGAGCCUCUUCUCUAUAAUUAGAGACGCAGAACUCAAAUGGUUUAAUGUAGACAAUUACAAUUAACAUAAUGAUCCAAUCUGGGUGUUUAGCACUUGAAAUGCUGUGUUCUACUAAUUAAGUGGUGUAAUGAUGUUGAUGUUGAUGUGGAUUAAAAUACCUCUGCAAAAACACUGAGAAAAAUAAAUAAAACAGAUACACUAAAACACAGAAUGGUGUUCUUCAGAUGCAUGCUAGCUCCUCUGAGUCAAGGGUGAGGGUUUCAGACCCUCGGUGCCUCCAUGUUUUUGUUUACUCUGAAUGUUCACUCACCUGACACAUGAGCUAACCGUUUGCACUGGGGCUGUUUGUCUUUCCUUUCCUUUUUUUUAUUUUUUAUAUCUUACUCCAGUAUUAUUUUUUCUCCUCUUGCUCCUGAUUGAUAGCAUGCCCUCCAGAGACUGAAAACAAAUACAAGAACAACUGUGUAUUGCUCUCUCUGUAUACCUAGAGGCAAAAACUGCUUUGAGGCCUGACCAAAUUAUUUUUACUGUUUUAAACAAAAGGCAGCCUGACAAGGAGGCAGGGACAGUUGAGCCAACUGAUGUAAAGUAUAAAAGCCUGCUAUUUCAAAGCAUUAUAGCACAUCAGGAGACCAAUAAAGGAGACUGUUAUUUUACCUUCUCAACCAAAAAAAUAUUGACUUGUCUCCAUUAUCAAGCAACAGCUUCAUACUGGUAACCAAAGAGUCACAGGGUGACUCCUUAAUAUUACCUUUUCUGUAAAACAAGGAGCUCAGUCGGUAGGUUUUAUUACGCAUGUGACACACUAAAUGAAGCCAAAUAAACCCAUAAGAGGUUGUAGUGAAGGACUGGACAGAGCAUGUUUUCACAGUUUAUUUUUCAGUCCCUCUUGAGGUCUGAUUUAAAGCCUGUUGUUUUUAUACCCAUAAAUACUUGAAUCUCUGGAGGCCGACUUGUUUUAUAGGCUUGCCGCCUCUGUUUCUGCUCACCAGGGUUUACAGGAGGACACAGUCAUAUAAACAUGGUAAUAUACCAGCCUUACUCAUAAGGAUGGGGAAGAAAUAUCUGAGGCUUUAAUUCAUUUUAUUGCAGUAUUUUAUCACGAGCAGACAGGGGCAAUAAUCUGCUGUGUAAAUGAUUGCAGGGAUGUGCAGAGUGGAAAAUGAAUGAAGUGAUAAAUAGAUUAAGAUGAGGCCAAGUGAAAUUAGGAGGAAUACUCACAACCACCAGCUGCUUUGUUUUGAUGUAAUAGAAUAUGUAUUAAAAUAAGAAAAUAAAUUUUUAUUAGCUUCGCAGAGCAUAAAAUGGAACACUGCUAAAAGUUACCAUAAGAGUGUCUUGUGGCAACUUGUAAUAUUUCACCGUGUAACGCCAGUCUGGAAUGGGAUUCAUGUUUACAAGGUUUUAAAAACUGAAAUGAAUUUGAUUGAGACCUUUAAAGUUGCACUAAACUGCCAUGUUAAAUGCGGUGACAGUUUUUAGGAGUCAGCAAUCCCUAGAAUUUUCAUGACUAAGAGGUGUUUUUUAGAUCAUAAAACCAAAUGAUAUGUUAUUUAGCUUACAACAGGAAAUGGAUAUUUUGGUUCUUCUAGAGUAAGGUUGCAUGGGGUGCUUUUCAAUAGUAAGUGUUUUGCACACAGGGGAUGCUGGUCACCUCGACCCUUUCAUUGAGGAACAGGCAGCAAAAACUGACAUGGAGGCUGGACUAUGAACAGUUGUGGAAGAGGUCAAAUCUAUUUUGUAAUUCAGCCAAUUUCAAAAAGCUUCAACCAAACACUAAGUGGUCUAAGCUAAUGUUGCAUUUGGCAGUUCUUAAGUGCCCUACUGUUUUGCCAGGAAGCCAAUUAAUUAUGGCACUAUUUGCUGAUGCACCACACGUGUGUUCUGCUGCUAAGGUGCCUGCAGUGCACUGGUCAGCUGUUUGGGUCUACCUGCUUCAAAAUAUGACAAAUAAAUUAGGAUCAACGAUUUUGACAGUGGUGAUGACUGCUUAUUAUUGCUUGAAGGGAGAUUAAUGUAAACAGGGAGACUAAAGCAUACAAAUUAAAAUCUGUGAUAAAAAGAUUGUGUAGCAAAAAGCACACAAGUAAAGAUUGUGGUGAUGAACUCUUUAUAGCUUUACAAAAAUUCACUUUUAUACAAAGCUGCUGGAAAUAAUCACAGAGAGGAAUGUAGGUGAUUUUGACCAGCUUGUGUGUCGUCAGACUGAUUGUUGCUGCUGCAAGAAGACAGUGAAGUGACACCAAAUGAAAUGUGACAAAGAAAUGUAUUUCGAUUGGAAUCUCCUGACUUGCCUCUUUUUCAGUUGUUAUAAAACCACACGAGUCAAAAGAUGCUCAAACACAAUUGUGUAAAAUGGCGAUAUUUGGUUAUUUUCUGUUGUUUUUUAAGUGUGUCAUCAUGGUACAAAAAUAUUACUUACCCAUUUUGACUAAAAUAUUUACAGAAAUUAAAAAAAAAAGCUAUUUCAAAAUAUUUUUUGGAUAGUCUCUGCCUUAUUGUAUUUAUUUUUUAUUUAUUUUUUUGCAGUAGUCAGAUAUUGAAACCAUCAAUUUUCUUGUGGUAUAUUUUUCCGACUUUUCAGGGGUCUAUUCAAAGACUCUUGAUACUUUUUAUCUAUCUAAAUGAUUUGUUUAACAUUUUAGGGGUUCUUUCACUGAUAAUGGUUGAUGGUGACACAACUAUUUGUCAUACAAAUUCUAGUUCUGUUGUGAUGCUCCAGGUAUCAAGUCCUAGAUUCUCCGGAUCAAAAGCAAAAUUUCUUCGGAAAUUUUGUAUAUAAGAAUGUGAGUUGGACAUUGCACAUUGAUCAGGUCAGUAAAAAAAAAAAAAUCUCUAGGUUUUAAAAGAAGGGUUGGUCAUCUUGUUACCCAUAACUGCCCCCUUUCUCUCUAUAAGAGUCUAAUUUAUCCAUAUGGUUCCUGUUGUGAUAUAUAUUGGAGUCUUUUCUGCUGCUCCCUUUGAAAUUCUGUGGCUCAGAAAAGCUUGAAACCUGAUCAGUGUCACUUGUCUUAUCUGUUCCUCUCUUCAAAAAGCUUGAGAGCCUUUAUGCUUUCAUUAAUAUUUCUCAAAUCUAUGUUUUUUUAUGUAAAUGUAAAAGCCUAGCAACUGCAAUAUGAACUCUCAAUGUUUGCUUGCAAAGUUGCAUUUUGUGAUAGGAUUUAGGGGACCAAACUGCAUUUAAAAAAAAAAAAAAAAUUGCUUGGGAAAUGUUACAAAAUAUGCCUGAAAAAAAAAUAUGUUAUGUAAUUGUUCCUAUCUUGUACUGUUGUAUUGACAGGUGUUUAGGGUUUAUUCGGAUCCCUUUCAGUAUAAAAAUCUAUUGCUGUGAGGUUAAUGGUGAUAAAAAAAAAAUGGAGCUCACUUAAACACUCAUUAGCAGGAAUUCUUAAUUCCUAGAUUUAUAUUGUUAAACAUCAGUUUAACAAACCAUUGUGCUUAUUAUAGACUAAGGGUAAAAAUCCAGAUUUGUGUAUGUCAUUUAACAGUAUUUAGGUGGAGGCUUUAACUAAACUCUCCGAGCUUUUUGCCUCUUCCUGCUCUUACUAUUUAAUUUAGUUUGUUUUUUGUUUUUAUUACACUUUCUUACAUUGCUUACCCUUAUUAUGAGAUAAAGGCAUGCAGCCCCUAAGACAGGGUCAGACAGGUUGUGAACCCUCUUGAUUUUGGAUUAUCUUGAGCUCAGCAGGCCAAACAAUAAAGCAACACUGUGUCUGCUUUCUCCAGUAUUUGGGAGCAGGUUUUUAUCCCCUCACUAAUACAUCUAAUUUUUGAGAGAGGCCUUGUUCAACUGAAUGUCCCAGAGCUGAAAUAUAAACACUUAACUUGGCUUGAACAAUGGGAAUGCUUAUUAAACUGCAAUACACACCAGACACUAUGUUAUUCAGCCACUGCUGCAUUCUGAUAGGACAUGGGGAGAAAAAAAAACAAAAACAAUAUUGCUGUGGUGUUGUUGUUUUUUCCCCCCAUAAAGAUGGAUGAGUGAGCAUCUCAUCACUCCCGGUUAGGCUGUGAGGAGACACGACUGUCCAAUAAACAUGUUCCAAGGGUGUGAAUUACAUCUGUCCUCAUUGUAAGUGUCUCAUUAAGCCAUGCUCUCCUGAUUGAGGGAUACAUGGUAGCAAAUUAUAACGGGGGGAACUGUUUGAUGAAAAUGUAGUGCCCAGGACAAAAAGAUAAAUAAUGCUAGCAACUUGAAGGUGAGCACAAUCCAUCAGUCCCCUGUGGAAAUGAAUGUUUUUUUUUUUAGACCCAGACAAGAGGAGCAAGACAGCAAAAGAGCAGACAAAUCACACACUCACUGGUGGCAAGAAGGAUAACUUUAAUGUUCAAUCACAGUGAAAAUGACAUAAAGCUCUUAAGUGAGAGUCGCAGACUCUAUGUAAUAAUAAGCCAUGUACUGUACAAUAGCUGAUAGCUAAAAACAAAUUAGCUUGGAUGCUAUUCUGAAUGUCAAAUACAGUAUCAGUCUGAGGAGCGAUUCGGACAUCCUAAAGAGAGUGGAUUCAAGUUGAAAUAUUUGACACUUUUUUUUUUUUUUUUGUGAAGUUUGUGAUAACUAGAUUCACACUCAAACGAGCUGUAUGCUAAGAGAAAUAUGUUAGAUAACAGUGUGUACAAACUUCUGAAAAGACAGGGGUGUCACACAAAGAUGUUGAAGAUUCAAAUAAAGAUCAUGUGAAACAGCAAGAUAAACAUCUUCAGCGGAAAAAGACAUGAUUGAAGUGCCACUCAAAAGCAAAAGAGGUGACGAUGGGGUGUUUUCUCAAAGUGAUGCUCUGUUUGCUUGACGUUAUUGGUGAAGCCAUUUUUAGGAGGGAGCUAACAGCCCCAGACAACAGAGGCAUUGCUGGUCAAAAACAACAGAGUGCACUUAAGCCUGUUCAGUCUCUCAGCGGGAGGUGUAAAGGAAGCUGCAGUCUACGGGGCCAAACAACAACACCAGUCAUAAAGGUUUGGCCUCAUCUCUUCACAUGCAAACAUUUCUUCUCAUCCCAUUUUGAUACUCUGUUGAAUGCUCCAUCAAAGAGUUCAUUAUUCAGAGAUAAUAUCUGACAUUGAAUAAGCACACAACCCAAUUAGCGCAGCAGUUCUGGGAUUGUUUGGGGAGACUUUGCUGUUUAAUUCUCACUAAAAGGAAUGCAAGAGACUACUAGCCAAAUAACCUUUUAGAUGCCCUGCAGGGAGAAUAAUGUAGUCAAUACCCACUGGCACAUUGCUUGUGAAUGUGAGAUAAUUAGUGUUUAGGGGUUUCUUGUGUGUGCUUAUUUACAUUAUGUUCGUUGGAGUGAGAGGUUUGUGAUAGGCAUUUGUCCUGCCCCCUAUAAUAUAAGCUCAUCUGGAGCUACAUGAAAAUUACAAUAAUGAGCUGAGUGAUGUGAAUUUUAAUUUGAUUCCAGCUGGUGAAGAACCUCACCUGUUAGCGUUUGGUUUAGACAGGGUAUUUUUGUUCACUGUGUUUUAUGUGCAAAUUGGUUCAGAUCCAAACCCUCGUCAUUGAGCCUAUUAGAGAAAUCACACUAAGUGGUCUCAAAGAGCUGGUUACUGACUUGAUCAAUCAAACAUGGCAGUGUAAAUCUUAAAAGGGGCAGUGCUGGCAGGAUUAGUAAGAUUCUUAUCGUGAAGGAGUGUGCUUAACAUUGUGACCGCCUGCCUAAUAUUGGGUAGAUCUACUGAUGAGACAUGGGCUGCACUUGACCUCUGUGAUUUCUGGCACAACAUUGUAUCAGUAGAUCUUUUAAAGGCACUGCGAGGAGUGUAACUGGUUGAGAAACAGACUGAUGCCUCUCGAUGACUGUUAAAAGUAAACAAGAACAUCACUAAGAAAGCUGAUACUAACACUGUUGUCACAUUUAGUGCUUGAAACCCUGUGGGGUAGGAACAGCAAAAACAAAAACACUCAAGUCUGACUUUUUCUGCUGCAAAUAGCUGCAAGUCUGACUAACAUACUUGGAUAAUGGAGAUUGAUUUUCUUUGUCAGGUAUAGAAGGACAGUAAUCCAGUUAAAUGGCCUAAUUGAGCUAUAACUAUAGAUCAACUUAGUGAUGCAUGUAACUGUUCUAUUACCAAUAUGGCAACCACCACUGAUGGGCUUCAAAACUCAACUUCACCAACUCAUGGGUGAUGUCACUAAUGCUAAAUACAUUUAUCACAUAGUGAAGUGAUUACGUGAAUCUGUAUGUAAAGAACUGCAAUGCACUUUGCGUUAGGACUCCUUUCUUUCAAAGUACAACUUCUUUUUUUUUUUUUUUUUUUUUUUUACAAUUUGAGCCUCAACAGCUCUUUUGUUGGAUCAGACCACACAGACAAGUGAACUUUGGCUGAUCAUGGUCCUGCCAAAAGUUCAUUGGUUUUUUCCUCCUUUCACCACUUUUGGAGUGUAAGGAUGCCUAGCCCAUGUUCACACCUUAUACUAGAAAAGCACCCGAAGAGCCCAGACCUCCGCCAAGCAGCUCAUGUCCCCCCUUAUAUUGUGAUUCACACCAAAACUUUUACUGUUACGUGUCUUUUAUUAACAUUUAUUUGUGUUUAAACUGGUAUGUUCACUGUUCAUAAUGAGGCAACAGUGCUAACCACUACACCACUGUGCCACCUAUCUACACCACUGUGCCACCCAUUGGUUAUCUUUCAGCAUUGAAAAUUCCAACAACACCCUUAUUUUUGUGUGUUCUGGAUCACAGUAUCCAGAAUUUUGUCCAGAUCACCACCAAAAUGUAAUGUGAUCCUCCUGGGGCUGAGACGCACCUCUGGUGAAAAUUUCAGGUCAAUCCGUCUGUAACUUUCUCUGUGGAGUUGCUAACAGACAAACAAACUCACAAACAAACAAACCAACGCUACCGAAAACAAAACCUUGGCGGAGGUAAUAAAUGGAAGGUCCACACAAAUGAUCAUUUUGACAAGCUUUACUGGUUACAGAUCAGGGUUACAGCUUCAUCAUGUCACAAGUGUAACAAAGCUUAACAAAGUGUAACAGAAGUGUAACAAAGAUGUGUCUGAGACCGUUCAAGUAUAUAUAGUCGUCCACAUUUCUAAACAUACUGCUGACAUUUAGUUGACUCUAAUAAAAAUCCAUACGGUAAGAACAAAGGACAACAUAUUUUAAGGAGCUUUAGGUGAACAUAUGGAGGGUCCAUAGAAGGAAAUACCAUGACAGAACGUAUUUUGGGGACCUGUAUGAUGUAAAACAUGGGUACAAGGUAGAUGUUGAGGAUGGUUGUCAGAGGCCCCCAGCUCCAGCAAUCUAACACUAAAGUAUCUGAGGUAUUUGAGUGACACAGCUCCACCACUCUUAAGGCUGAUAUGACUGGCUAAAGAAACUCAUCCUAACAUGGAGAUACUGAGAAGAGCAAACAGGGAAGACCCCACAAGAGCAACAAAUGUUGCAACUCUUGCUGCCUGACAUAUCCAGCUCACUGACAGGAGCCAUUGCACAGAGAUAACUAAUGUUGCUCACUUCACCCUUUAAUGAUCAUGAUGUUAUGGCCAAUUAGUGGGAAUAUCAAAAUCUCACAAUACAAUUAUAUGGCGAUGAUAAAUCCAUGAUAUGAUAGUAAUUUGAGUUUGAAUGUGGCUUGAUGCUAGGACCCAUGGAUGAAGGUACUGAUGAGCUUUAACGUUUAUGAUUUGGGGGUUUUAGAAAUGCAGAAUGGAGUUCUCAACAGCUUGAUCUGCAUAGAUCCAUACUGUUUUUGUUCAUCAAUCACAUUUUCCUGUUCACAUGACAUGGUGAUACUGCAAUAGUAAGAUACUUUGAAACUUCAGCUGUAAAUGCAGAUACAUUUUAACUUUCUGCCUUGAAGAAAUGGUUUCAUUCAGUGAUAUUGAGACGCUUUGGUGUCAGGAUACUAUGUUGUUGACAGUGUCAUAAUAUCUCCACUGAUUUGUGUAUCUGCUUUUGAUAUAUUUUAUAGGUAUAAUCAUAUUGUGACAAACUCUAAACACUUUUUUCAUUGUCUGACCAUCAGUAGGUGGUAAUAAGCAGCUGAUCUCUUGGCAGCAGAUUUCCUAUCUUGAAGCACUGUCUUCGCACUGCUUCACACGGCAGUAAAAUGGACAUAAGGUAAUGAUAUAAAUAAGGUCGGAUAUGAAUUUGGUGCACUUGUAAAUAAUAAGUGUAUCUUUGAAAGACAAAAUACAAAAUAGAAUACAGAUAUGUUUAUCUCAUUGUCAGAAAUGUCAGCGCACAGCUUUGUAGAUUUCUGCUGCAUGGUUUAGACAUGAUGUGGUUUAUUUUUCUGGUUAUAUUUCAUCCAAGAAAAAGCCUAAAACUCUAAACAUUGAGACCUAAAUGUAACCGUCGAAGCCAUUAAGGGAAAUCUGAAUAGAGCCCAAAAGGCAAACAGAUUUGACUCAUUUCAUGCUUGAGUUCCAAGCCUCAGCUUCCACUUUUAAAAGUCAUGACAGAAAUACAUAUUUGAAAAUCAUGAUGUAAGGUCUCUCAAAUCUGUCAGGCACUACUGUAAAUCCAUUAGCCCUCCCAUGGGGGAGAGACAUCCACUGACAGCUCCGUCUUCCUCCUCACAUUGAUAGAUGCCACAAUUACACAUUUAGCGACAAGUCAGAUCACAUUUGAUCAAGCAGUUCUUUGCUGUCAAUUUUUCAGGCCCUGUCAGUCAUUUGAAUUAUGUGAAGGGAGCUGGGGUUGAGAGGAAAUGCUGCUCACUUUCACCCUAUUUUCAAUAGAUGAGUCAUUUUGGUUAAAGCAGUCUGAUAUUUCCACCAGUGUUUCUCAUUUUCUUGUAACCUUUAAAAGGGAACAUGGUCUCUACUCUAGUUUCAAUGAUUUGCACUCCUCACCAGCCUAGGGGAGAUGUACAAACAGGGAGGACUAAUAUCGAGCCUUAGUUCACAUUGGUAAAUAACAUUUCACAUUGUUUGCCAUUUUGCAGCUUUGAUUUGUGAUUUUCACUGCUCAUAUUUCCCCUUUGUUUUCCAUUUAGCACAUUAAAAGAUGGCAGACAGAGCUGAUCUCAUUCAUGUGUUGCCAAAACCCUCUAAUUGUUUAAUGUGACUCUCUUUCUUACAUCAUUUGCUGGCAACACCGCAAAUGAAAACCUGUUACUAUCUCCCACUCAGACCAAAUGUCAGCAGUGUAUUAAUUACCCUCGCGUGACCAAAAGAACACAUUUAGUGAAGUCCAGUAAAGUAUUCUUGACCCUGUUAACCCUUGCUUAGAUAAUUUGCUUUCAUAGAGCAAACAUCUAAAUCACUCCAACACUGCUUUAAUUUCAGUUUCCUUCUUUACUCUUUUUCCCAGAGGCCUCUCAAAGCUUACUGCAUCUUAUCAGUGUGACCCAUCCAGCAGGGGUCACUGUGGCCCUUGGAGAAGUCCGGCAAAUUACAUCCUCUGAGCAGCAGUGCUUCCUUUGCUCCCAUGCUAUAGACACACACCAUUAGUGAGUCUCAUGUGAACUUGAUUGUGAGUCAAAGAGCUAGUUCAUUUUGCAUGUAUUUCUUAUAUUCCUUAAAAUGAUUUGACCAUGUGAAUCAAUUACACGGACACUGGCAGCAACAGAUACCUUUAUGUGAAAUGGGAAGGAUGGCUGACACAAGGUAACAGCAACUUAAUCGAUGUUGACUGAAGCAUGUGAGCAGUUUGAGGUAAUGGCUGAGAGUGUGUGGAAUAGCAUUUGCAUGGUGUGGAUGCUCAAGAAUGUUUUUUGCUUGAAUGACCUAUUAGGCCUAUGAUACGGACCAGAGGUGCACAGAUUUAGCCUUUUCAGGCAUAAUUUUCGCUGACAGGGGAGAGAUGUGUCAAGGGCAUUUUUUUUUUCUUCUUUUUUUUUUCUUAGCAUAGAUGUGUGUUGUCAGCAUGGCCUCCAAAACUUUAAUUCUUUAUUCCCAAUCACUGACAUUUUCUAGACUGAAAUUAUUAUUAUAUUCUGCUUUACAAUCAUAGACAAAUUUUCAGUUUAGAAACCACAAAAUUCCAAAUCAGUGGGUUAGUAGGCAGUUUAUCAUUAAUGUUGGCUCAGUCUGAACCCUACAAAACAAUACCAACUGAAUAUCACGUCAAGUCCUGCCCCUGUCUUGGCAACUUGUUCAAAACUAAGGGGGCACUAUGGAGGAACAUCCUACAAGCUGCUAACAGGCUCUUGUCUUUGUGUGUUUUUUUAUGUGCUUUAAGUUGGGAGUACAACUGUGUGUGGACACAAAAAAUCUCUCAGAGACUCUCUGAAACAUCUUAUUCCACAGGAAACAUAUGGAACCUGGUGAGGAAUCUGACUUGCUUCACCAGGUCCCAGGGGGUUCAUGCCAUCCCAGACAGCUCCCUGAAACUAGUCUUGUCUUACCAAGCGCAAAUAAAACAAUCUACUUGCUUAAUUUGCACAUAUCUGGAUAUGAGCAAAUUAAGCGUAUUUACUUUGCAAGAAUAUCUGCUUAAUACAGCAUGAUUUGUGUGUUUGUAUUGCAUCUGCAGAGAGCCCAAACACAGGUGUGAUUUGGAAAGAAGCGAGAAAGAGGAGGGGUUCCUACAUGUCAGGUCAGACUGUGUACAUUGAACAUAGCGGAGGUUGACCACCAUAGACUGUAUAUAGAAUGGACAUCAUCUGCCUCCUUGCUGGGUGACGCCAUAGCGAGAACAGCACCCUCCGGUGAUAGGCUGCAGUAUAGGUCAUAAAUCCCGCCUCCUCCAGCAAUCCCUAUGAGGCUGUGGACAAACUUUAGAAAUUAAUUACUCAGAAUAUAAAUUUUUCUCCCUCCUGGUUGUGAUGUUGACAUGUAGUUAUUGUAAGACUGGUUUGUACUCAAGUCCUGUUUUUUUCUGUGCAGCUCCAUUUAUCAUGUUCAUGUUUUCUAUGAUUCACGCUUGAUACAGCCUAUGGGCGUACAAAGGUUGGGUAGCUCACCCGGGAGAUAUGCUGUUUGAGCUGAGCGUCAUCACAGCAACUCUCCUGCUGAAUGCGUACAAUGCCACUGCAUAAGUGGUGGAGUGCAUACAACGCUACUGUGCAAUGUUGGUUUCAAGAAGUGGAGAAAAAACCUGGAAAUACCGAGACCUUUUUGCCUUCAAAUUUGUAUACUGGCGGAAGGUGGAACCAAGCUGUCCACAGUUUAUACAGUCUAUGUUGACCAUACUGUGAGGAUCUGUUGAGUCUGAACAACAUAGUCUGCUUAAUUUGCGCUGCGCAAUUUGCAUCAUUCGUGUUGUCUGAGUAGAACGAGUGUCUAAUCGAGUCUUGGCAUUGACUUUGCAUGUAAUUCAUGUACAUGAAUGAUUUUAUUUGCACAUGGUGUGAGCGCCCAUUUCAAAGUAUGCACAUGCCCUAUUCCUGAGCUUUGACAGCAAAGAUUAUGAGUAGACAACCGAAAUAAAUGUUUUGUUUUCGGUAGGGUCUUCCAAAUACUCUCUUCAUAGUGUCAUUUGAAUAUUAACAUGCAACCUUUCCUAGUUGGAAGUGUAACAUGUGAGUUCACACAAUAGGUCAUGUUCAUGAAUCCAUAAUACAUACUCAACAGCACAUUUGUGAAAUAAAAUAUAAAGCUACAGAGCAGAUAAUAUUCAGAUGUCUGAGAUAUGUAGGUUUGUUUUUUGUCAGGUCAGCCUGCCUUGUUCUUCAGUGCUUCUAGCCCUGCAGGCGUAAUCUGUGCUUUCAAUACCAACUGUGCUGCUACAGAUUAGAAGGAGACUUGCUUUGACUCUUAUUUAGUUUUAUCACUGGGCAUUUUUUUCUUGCUUUGGCAGCCUGAAAAGGUUUUAUAUGUCUGUAGAUUGAAGCAACAUUAAAGCAAAACCUUCUCAUUACUGACACACAGCACAAGAACCUUGGCUGGAAUCCUUAACGGCAGCAUGAGCCGGUGCUAUCAGUGAGUCCUGUCAAUGAGAGAAACGAGCACAAGACAUAGUGAUAGAUCCCCACAGAAAGACACAGCGAGGGCAGAAAGAGGGACAGAAGAGAAGGAUGGAGGAAGAGAUAGACAACAUCAAACCACAGAAAAUCAAUGUGGCCUGUUCUUGUCGUGUUUCCCGGGCAUGGGAAUGAUAAGUUAAUUGGCUAACGAUCUUCAAACCCAAGCUUCUACCUAAUCCCCCAGUGCACUGCUGACCCCCUGUGAGUUAGGCUGAGAGAGUUUCAACUUAAAGCUCUGAGACCAGCAACAUAUUCAGUUACAUGUAGUAACAAGAAGGAUGGAGCUAAAACAUAAUGAUAGGAGCUGGUCAGAUUGCAUAUUACCAAUGAAGACUGAUUUUCACAUUUCUGGUGUAAGAUGUUUAUUAAUCAACACAUUACUCGCUUUAGAGGCAAUGUCAGAAAACUUUCAUGAACCAGUUUUUUUGGAUUGUAUGAUUAAACAGUGUUAUACUCUGCAUUUUUGCCUUUCUGUCUAACACUAUAUUUGUUCUACAAAGUCUUGUUGUACAUUUUGAUACUUGCAUAAAUUUCACUGAGUCAGAUGGUUUUCAUCAGACCGAGAGACAGUCUCUUGGAGGGAUGGUUAAAUUUCCAAGACUUCAAAUGUAGCAAACAGUUAGAUAUGAGGGACAUCUGAUCAAGACUGUUUCCUCGCACUUGUCUGUGAUAUUUUUUCAACUCUGCCAUCUUGAUGUGCUAGAAUGGAGUAUAUGUUGACGAAUAACACUUACAAGGAGUACCAGCUGCACUUUCAGGCAGAUUUCAGUUUAUGAACGUUAACAGGAGCUGAAUCAAUGUUGGAUGACCCCCUGUGGAUUCCAAAAUUGGCCCAAGAUUUCCAAAACUCCUUUCCAUUAACAAAUAAAACCGACCUCCCUCUUCUCAAAAGUUCAUACCUUUUUUGAACUAGGAGCACAUUCAAAUAGACUGCAUAAAACGUGGACAUGAUAUCAGUGACAUCAGCCAGUAGAGUCUGAAGUUAUUAUUAUUGUUUCAACAUGGAGGUCUCCAUGCCUAACUUUUAGUGGAUCUAGCUCGAGACAAAGGGCUAUGAUGAACCCACCUGUCAGUCAUAUCAUAUGGAUGCAUAUGUGCCCCCUAUGGUUAAUUAUGCCAAGAUUUUUUUUCUAAAUCCUCAUAUACAAUGUGUAUGAAUAAGAAAAAAAGAUAUAGGUGGACCAAAAUUUUUGUUUGUUUGUUUUUGAUACAUGUGUGUUAAUAAGGUCUACUUGGCCAAUGGAGCCAGCGUCAAGUGGACACUUGAAGAACUGCAGUUGUUGUAUAGCAUCUCUGCAGUGAUUUCAUUUUUAGUAUCAGAGGUUGCUGUUUGGUAUUACCCGAAGCUUAACCCACAUAGAUAUUCCUGGAAUACUCCAACACCUGCAAAUCCAGAAAUGUUUCUUCUCAGUUCUGCUCGACAAAAUGUGCAAAUGCUUUAAUACUUAUGCAUGUGGCUGCACUGCUAAUAUGAGAACAAAUUGCACCAUAACCCAUCAUCCUCCAUUUUUGUGAGCACAGUUGAGCAGGAGAACUCUGCUGACUCCCUCUCUAAGCCUCAGGACGGAUCAGAUUCUCUGAAGAGGUUGUAUGAAGUGCGAAAGCGCAGAAUAUUUCUCAGCUUAGAGCCUGAGAGAUACUGUUGGCUCCAAAGUCAUAUUUACUACGGGAUUUCAACCAUCAUGCCAUGCAAUCCCAAGGAAACAUACCCUUCAUUCACAUUUAAUUUGAAAGCUGUGUAGAUUUCAUGGUCCUCGAUAUCAGGGGAAACAGGGUGAGAAAGUGAGAGAGAGGAAGAAAAAAGCAGAAAUAAACAGAGUCACUGCUUGGAGCCGGUGCUUUUAUGCAAGUAAAGCUCUCUUUUCAAAGGUGGGUGAGGGGUCAGGAAAUGAGGCGGUGGAGGUGGGGGAAUUCUUCGAUAGAUGCUUCCUCGACCUUGCACAGCUUAUAAAACCAAAUGCCCCCCAGCCCACCAAAGAAACACACCAUCGCCAGCAGCAGCCUUUCAUCCCUUUGUUGACUUUCUCUAUCUCAAACACAUCCACACUUGGAUCUUACGGCAUUGGCAAACAGUUUGUUUAUUCAGUCUAUUUGGUUUCCAGAUGGAGGAUUUGUGUCACAUAUGGCAAUAAAAAGAGUUCCAGAAGAGCAGUGAAGUUUAUAUCGAAGUUAAAUUUUGUUUACUUCGCGCUUAAAUCCGUCCACUCAUAAUAAGCCCAACAUGCCACCCACACAGUUCUUCACUGUGGGAGGAAAUCCUUAAGGGUCACCACCAAUCUGAAGAUAGACAAGAGGUUUCUACCAUUGGGUUGUUAACCCAAAUUUAAAUGGAAGAGUUAGACUUUGGUGUUUAACAGCAGCAAGGACGUGCUGAGUGGUGUUAUUUAUUUCCUCAUGGUGGAUGUCGAAGUAAAAGUGUUGGAGUUUGUAUUUUAACAUUUGCAGAUCAUUUUAGUAAACAUUAGUGGGAAGUUUAAGUGAUAUUAGUCCAGCAGAGCAUACUUGGCAAUGAUGGUGGAGGAUGGUGUCACUGUCAAAAUAUAAAAUGAUGUCACAUUUUGUUUUUCUUUUUGACUGAAUAUACAAUCAAAUGAAGGUCCCUCAGACAUGAAGAAAAGAUGCAGCUUCUUUCAAAUAAGACAUUCAGCAUUUUGCUGCCUUGCCAUUCUUUCUGAUUGAGUGUUUCAUUGCCCUGUGCCAUCACGUGUUCUCUGUCUGCAGCCUUUUGUCUACCUGAAUCCAUCCAAAAUUAGCCAUUUUCAAAUUUGGAUACCAUGCCAUUGUCUUGUAGGUCAGUUAUUCCCUUGCAAGGUAAACUCUUCUUCCUCUUCUGAUUUUUUCAUGUGAAACUGACUCUCACCUCUCUGCUGUCACUAUGAUUUACUGACUAAUUCACUCAAUAAUCAGAUUGUCUGGCUAUUCAUUUACAACAUAUUACAUUAGACAUGUGCAUGCAAUUUCAGCUAACAAUUCAGUUUUGGAUGCUUUCUCUCAACUCUCUUUCCAUUAUUAUGUCUCAAAUUGCUUUUCUGGCUUUGGCUUAGUCCUUUGUUGCCGGUUGCCGGCUACACUGAAAGCCGUUACCCAUCCACUCCAAAGACCUCACAGUCUGUGUGACUUCUGACAGACUCUGUGAUUGCUAGGGUGUUUAUGGUGACCAAAUAAUAAUGAUUACUUGUUGAAGUUAUCCAAGCAGUGUGUUAGUUUUACUGUUGUAAGUCAUAACCCAUUUAUUUUCACAUGAUUCAAUUCAGCGUGUUAUUUUGUCAGUCGAGGUCAGCACAACAUAGUUAAGCCACUGCAGUGACUUACUGCGACAACCAUGAUGAAAAUAACAACAUCUCCGCACUUUUGAAUGGCACACUUCAGUUGUAAACAAUCCUUGCAGCUCAGUUUAGUGGCCAAAUACAAUUUUCACUUUUUGUCAAACAAAGUCAACUGAUCAACUAAGUCCUUGAAGUUUGAGUUAAUCAGUUAUGUUUGUGGGCAAACGCAUUAGCAGAGCCCUUGGUCCACAGACCUUUGAAUGACACACCCUAAAGUCAUCUCUCAUCUCCAAAGCCCAGGGGAUCAGUAUUAUCUGGAGACCUUUGAUAUUUCAUAGUAAUUGUGGAGGACAUCUGUAAAUUGGUCAGCCUGGUAGAGCUUUCAGUUAUCAGGUCCCUCUCCUCUGGAUUCAUCUACCCACUGAGGUGCAGGGGGUAGACACCCACUUUACCUUUAAGAAUAGGCUCAAGAAAAGCCUCAGUCAGAGCUGGUUCAGGCCUGGGUCAGCUCUUAGCUAUUGGUGUAGACCAGGGGUCAGCAACCUCAAGCACUCAGAGAGCCAUUUGGACCCGCUUCCCACAGAAAAGAUAACACAAGGAGCCAAAAAAAAAACCCCUUAACAUCUAAAAUGAAGACAACACUGCAUACAUUGUUUUUUUAUUUUUUUAUUUUUUAUUUUUUUACCUUUAUGCAGAGUAUUAAAAAAAAGAAAAAAACUGUAGUGUUUUGCAUUUAUGAAAUCAAUGAACAGCUGCCGGGAAAACAAAAUUUUAUUUCUGCAGGCAAACAAAUAUAUUUUAGACCCAUUCUCAUGAAAAUCAUAUUUUUCUUGUCUACAUGAUCAUAUGGCAUUUUUCUGAUUCAACAGGACAUAUCAUGAGAAAAAUAAGUGUGAAAUUGCAUUUCUGAAAGAAUGGCAGACACAAACGGCAGGCUCAGACACAGUGAGAUUUCCUACGUCACAAAUGCCUUUGGAGCAUUGCUGUGCAGGUCAGAAGUAGAGAGAACAAUUGCGGAACAGGCAUGUGUGUUCGGGGGUUGCAAUGCUCGUAAGAAAGCUAGUUAUGAUAUUAACUUUCAUCAUGUUCCCAAAGACAUUACUGUCAGAGAGCUGAGCUUCACCUCCAUCUUCACACAGGCUUUCGGUUUUCACAAGUCAGUAGUUAUGAGACAUAUUUUGAGUGACAAAAAAAUUUAACACUGUUCAUUCAAUGUUACAAGAGCAUCAUAAUCAUAGAAUUUAGAAUUACUUUAAAAAAAUAUCUAAAAUAAAAUAAAUUUAAAUUAAACAUUUAUUAUUCGUUUUCCAAAUCCACAGGGAGCCACAGCAGAGGGAUAAAGGAGCCACAUGCGGCUCUGGAGCUGCAGGUUGCCGACCCCUUGUGUAGACUGUCAAGGGUAAUGGCAUAUUGAGCACCUUUCUCUCCUUUUCCAUCCGCUAUCUGCCUUUGUCAUUAACUUUGAAUCAAAGUGUUACACUCAGUUAUACACAGUCUCUUCUUGGAGUCCCUGUGCUCCAUCGUGGAUUGCUGCUGCGAAUGUUUUGCUGGCAUGGACCUGCCUGUAUUCCAACUACGUGCAUUAAUCUCUCCUCCAUUUAUCUUUCUCUCUCUGAUUAAGGUUUCCAACUGUUAAAGGUAGCUUUUCCUCUCCACUAAAACUUGCUAAAUGUUGCAAAAUGUUGCCUCUGAAGAAAUUAAUCCAGCCUGAAUCACAGUCAUUCAGUGUCCUUUUUUUUCUGGUGCAAAUUCAGAUGGAUCAUAUUAACAGACACUAUGAAGAUCUAUUCCAUUAGGAGCCUUUUUAUCUUUCAGGAUGAUUGUGUUUUUAGUGCUAAAAGUAGGUGUUCAUUGAGGCAGUGUGGCCUGUACAUCACAUUUUGCAUCACAACAAAAAAAUCCUCUCAGUGCUUUGUUCCUUGUUGCCAAGCAACCCCUCAAUUACUCACUCAAAUACCAUAUGGAUUAAUUUGAAAAUGGAGGGGUAAAGUCAGAGGUUCAGCUUAAUACAAGCUGCUUUAUUACACAUUUUUUAACACAAUACAUAAGAUUUUACAGCAUUCUUUAUAUAUACUCUCAAGUUAAGUUGAAUAAACUUUUAAUGUCCAAACCAGGCAACAUAACUAAUGAGCUUUCAACAAAUAAUAAUGGCAUGGUAGACCUUCCCGCUAAAGCUUUGUUCUCAUAGACUCUUUACAAAUACACCUCAGAGCAACAAAGAAGUGCUUUCAACCAGAAUCCUUGAGGAAAUCAUUUCAAAACCAAACUGUGUAAUCAUUCUUUUUCGUCAUGUUGUGGCAGCAGAGCAUUUAGAAGAGAGUUAGCAUUACUCUUUUUACGUUAAACUACGGUAUAUAUAAAUUAUGAAAGUCAACAGUCUCUACAACCUCACUAUGAUGAAAAGGGAUGUACAGAAGCCUUAAAAAGAAAGCAAAGUAAUAAAAGAAAGUAUUCUACCACCCAGAACGUCUGAACACUGGACGAGCCAAGCAAGCGCCAGUUAGCAUAGUGGCUUCCAAAGUCAACAAAAUACACAUCCUAUUACAAAUACUUUAGGAUGGCACUAACUUCUAAGUGGUAGCGAAAUAAUGUCAGCCACAUUUUUUUGAUUUUUGACAUGUUCCUACAUAUCAUGAGACAGGCUACAGGUAGUGUGCCCCAUCUCCUGACUUUGCCAGUCUGUAGAUGAGAGCUGCUGACCAUGCCACAGCGUCUCACUGGGAAGGCUGAGCCCCCUUUUGUGGAAUAAAUUGGAACAAAAUUUCCAAUAAGAAACUACAGAAUAACAUCAUUAAAGCUCCCAUUUACAAUUAUAUGUAUAAAAAUCACACAUUAUACACAAAAUAAAUCACAGACACAUUCUUGGUUGUCAGAGGACCACCUCACACUGAGAGGGGAGAGUAGGAGAAAACAACAGACAUGAUCUUUUUUUUUUGUUUUAUGUCCAUGGGGGCUGACGAUCAGAUGGCGACAAAGUGUCUUUUAUUCAUGUUCUGGCUCUGUUGUGAGCUGUUUUUAUUGCGCACCCUAAGAUAAGCAUGAUUAAUGCUUUCAUCUCCUUCUGUCAGUUUAUUAGUGCAGUGCAGUCAUAAACAUUAUUUGGAUCUAUAUGUUAAUGACUUUAAUUUUUUUUUUUUUUAAUUUGUGUUAUCAGACUUCUGUCUGCUGUUUAGCCAUUUUUUAUUCAUAGAUAAACCACAGAAAUGUAACAGCAGGAAUAUCGAGCUUCAUAAUUUUAAAAAAGUUUGAAUUAGAUUUACUUUAGUCAGUGAUCACCUGCUUCGCUUGACUGCUUAUUUGGUGAGUGAGUGAGAGAAAGAGAGCAACCUUUAUCACGUCAGUUAAAAAUUUCCCAUAUUUAAUGUUGAAAUAAAAUCAUUUUCUCUUUAGAGGUUCCAGUGUAAUACAUGGCAAACAAAGAAUGAGGAAUACGAGCUGCAGGGCUUGUCCUCUGUCAACCACGACCAGGAUCCAUCUUGUUAAUGCGGUCCCACACAGCCUUAGCCAAUCAGUAUAGGCCAAUCAGUACAUCGAGUCUUUAACAAGUAUCCAGAAUGUUCUAACAUGAGAAGGUACAUCAAAGCAUUCAUUUUUGUCAGGUCUUAAGUAUAAGUCCUCUGUCGUUUGUCUCAUUACCUUCCUGCCUUGGAUUUACCCUCAGUGGGUCGUGCUCUGCUCUUGAAAUAUGGUGUAAUGGAAUGACAAACACACCAGAUUCCAGAUCAAAUUAACCCCCAGAGCCAACAAGACUUCAUCAAAUGUCCUGAGAUGUCGGUUUGAUCUCGCUGAGCCUCUCUGAUCACUGAAGACUCCUUAAAGUUCAGUUUUAUUUAUUUUGUCUGCUUAUUUUUAGCAGGAAAUAAAGCACUGAUGAGGGAUGGGGCAUGCAAUUCUCUCCAGCACUGCUAGCAGCAAAAUAGCUCAACAUGAUGGAUUUAUCUAGGCACACCAGUGUAUAGGUACUGUAUGUGCUCUGUGACUAAAGCCAGCUUGCAUGCCAUAGACUGUGUGUGUGUGUGUGUGUGUGUGUGUGUGUGUGUGUGUGUGUGUGUGUGUGUGUGUGUGUGUGUGUGUGUGUGUGUGUGUGUGUGUGAAUGAUUGUAAGCGAGUGUCGGUAGGUAUGCCAGCCUCUGCAAAAAGAAAACGCUAUCAUUUUUCCCCCUCAGGAGGCAGGCAUCACAUUCCUUUUAUGUUAGCUGGAAGUAAACAGGAGCCAUAACACUUUACUCUCUUUCACUUAACUAGACAAGACUGUCAUUGUGGGAUCAGCAGACAUGCUUAAAUUUAAAUAGCUCUAACCUUUGUUCUUUAGGUGUGCAUGUGUAAAACAAGUGGGUUUGAGUUUGUAAGUAAGAGGGUGUAUUUGUAAUACGGAGGCGUAUUGCAUUCACUUACAUCGGACUCAUUUUUUUCUUCUUCAUGGUUUUGUGACUAUUUUUUUCUUCUGUUUUUUGUAUUAUUAUUUUUUCCCCCUCUUUGUGUUUUUCUGGCACACAUUUUUACACGCUUUUUCUUUCUCUUUCUGUAUUUUGAACUAUUUUUUUUUCCCUAAAUAGGCAAGGUACUUCAGAAUCCUGCGAGAAUUUCAUACAAUCUGAUAACAUUAACCACCGUGGCUGCUCCAAAUCAGUGGAUUGUCCAGCUCCUAAAUAACUUUGACCACGGGGUUGAUAAGACUUAGGCAUGUAAUUAGUUAAACAUAGGGUAUGCAAAUCCUGUGGGUAUGCAAAUCCUGUGGUGCCUGCGUAAAGUAGAGAAACUUAUGGCGAUUCCACCUGUCUGACUCAAAGAAAGGAGUAUCUCCUAGUAUCUCAAACGCCCCCAAAAGUAAAACUUGAUUAAACUAAACAAGUGGGCCAUGUUUGCUUCCAGUAAAUCGAGCAGAAGGGGAAGAAAGCCUCUGUUUUUAAAUUAUCAGGAUUUCAGAGAAUAGGAAAAAAAAAUAGUCAGAAAAACAGAAAAUUAAAAAAAUAAUAAUAAUAAUAUUUAUUUAUUUAUUUUGUGAAUGCAAUACACUUUUGUAGUGUAAGCCACAAACUUGUACUACUUAUUUUUGUCACCAUUUACCUCCUCACUCUGUGCGAUGUUCUCAGAAUUUAUACAACUUUUAAUUUCACCUUUAAUUUCAGGUUCAUACUCAUUCAAUGAUGUAUACAGAAGAAUGUCAGUAGUUCAUAACUUCACUCAAUGUUAAUAUCUGUCUAGAAACAGGCUUGAAUAAAAAUGUCAGGCUUGAAUAAAAAUGUCAGUUUUUGAGUACUUCCAAACCUUUCUUCAUUGGAUUAAGUGCCAAAGAUUAUUUGUCAAAUUAUUAGCCUAAAGCUGCCAUGAGCAAGGGAGGGAGAGGAGUGAUGCUUGGAUGACAGAGAAAGGUGGUGAAGAGAGCUCUAAUGAAAACACAGCACAAAACCUGGGAAAUAAGAUGUAAUUUUAUGGUUGUUUAGCAUUGUUACACAUUAGAGACACAAAAUAACAGACCCAUGUUUCUGCACAGACUUACAGGAAGUUCUGUUUGCAUGCAGCUGUGCUUCACCCUGCACACAGUGCAUUUAUGUCUGCACUGCCUCAGCCACAUCUGCAGCUCUUUGAGAGCCACUACAGUGCUAACAGCAUCAUACACUGCUCUGUAAACAUUUGUUAAGUUCAUUCGAUGUCCCUAAAGAUGAUAUGCAUCUGUUACAGACAAGAAGCAUGAGAGGAACAGCAUUUUGGAUUUUUGAGCAAAGAACUGUUACACCAUUGCACAAUGACUGUCUCACACACACACACACACACACACACACACACACACACACACACACACACACACACACACACACACACACACACACACACACACACACACACACACACACACACACACACACAAAAUGUCCUAAACACAGUUACAUAAUGACACAACCAGAAGAUAGAGACUCCACCAUACACUGGUGGAUGGUAUUAUAUUUGAAGACUGAGAGGAGAUAUUUUAAUACAAGGAGAUUUUUUUUUUAAUUAUUAUUAUUGUAACUCCAUUAGCACUGAGUCACAUGUUGAAUAUGUUCACUAACUUUUCUGUGCCAGGACUGUGCGCAUGCUGGCAUGAAAAACAAACAAGCACAUAAACUCUGGGUGCCUACGAGUGUAUUUUUUGUUGCUAUGGUAUCAAAACAGGCAGUGAUAUUUAUGUAUUUUCUAAAUCAUAAUGCUCAAGUUAAAAACUCUAAUUCUGUGACAUUAUAAUUUCCUGGAAAAGGAAAAUAUGCAGUGAGGAGAAGAAGAUAUAUUUAUAUUGGAUGUGAUGAGGAUUUUCUUUUUUUUUCGAAAUUUUGUUGUUGGCUUUUAAGGCUGUUUAAGGCACCACUUUGCCUCAUUGAACUUCCACAUAUUUUCUCUCUUGCUAGAGCUGCUUCUAGCAGCUGCUCCUUGGACUUUCACUAAAACUCAGCCUCUGGAGCUGCCACCCUGAACAACUGGGACAGCUAAGCACUUAAAUUAAGAUUCCAUUUCACAUUCUGGAUAUUUAUAAAAGUUAGUCUUUUCUCUUUGGCCUUCCCUUUGCAAUGAAAGCAUUAAAACCAUAGACUGUAUAUACUAUGGACAACUUGGUUCCAUCUUCCAUCAUUUGAAGCCAAAUUGCUCUCAGUAUUUCUGGGAUGUUCUCCACUUCCUGGAACCACCACUUGCGCAGUAGCGUUGUAUGCAUUUGGUGAGAGAGUCGCUGUGAUGACGUUCAGCUAAGACAACAUAUCCCCCAGGUGAGCUAUGCAGUCCAUAGGCUGUAUCGAAUGUCAAUCAUAGAAAACAUGAACCCUCUAAUAACUUUUAAAAAUGGAGCUGCACAGUAAAAAGAGGACUUGAGCACAAACCAGUCUUACAGUUACUACAUGUCAACAUCACAACCAGGGGGGAGAAAAAUGUAUAUUCUGUGUAAUUAAUUUCUAAAGUUUGUCCACAGCUCCAUAGGGAUUGCUGAAGGAGGCGGGGUUUAUGACCUAUACCACACCAGAGUGUGCUGUUCUCACAGAGGCUUCACCCAGCGAGGAGGCAGCCAUUGUCCUUUCUAUAUACAGUCUACGAUUAAACCCUAACAGAUUUUACUGUUAUUAUCGUGUGUAUUGCUGUUUCUUGUUGACUGAGUAAAGCUCUUUGGCCAACCUUGGUUGUUUUUAAAUGUGCUAUAAGGAUAAGGUAGACUUGAAAUGAUUUUUACAGUAACUUUGCAACACAUUGUUUGCCAUGUAACUUUAAGAUCAAAAACUUAAGCAUCUCUGCUGUUCUGAUGUUAUCUUGAUCAACUGAUUCUUUCUCACUCUGCCCUCCUGUCUCAGCUGCCAUGCGGGCUAACCUUGUAGUUGCCAAAAAAUGGAUACCUUUUUAUAUCAGCAGAGAGUCACGCACAAAGUAGAGUACUACAAAAAUAAGGGUGUCGUUGGAAUUUUCAAUGCUGAAAGAUAACCAAUGAAGAUACAAGGAAGUGUACGCUUACAAAUAUUGCAUAAUAAAUCAUGCAUUUAUGUAUCUAAUAUGAGCUUUGUUGUUUCAGGAACAUUAUGAACAGUGAACAUACCAGUUUAAACACAAAUAAAAGUUAAUAAAAGACACGUAACAGUAAAAGUUUUGGUGUGAAUCACAAUAUAAGGGGGGACAUGAGCUGCUUGGCGGAGGUCUGCGCUCUCUGAGUGCUUUUCUAGUUGUUGUUGGACGAAGCUGUGUGUGCAUUAGAUUGUCAGUAAUUAAUUUCAUUCAAAGUGUAUGGAAGAAAUUAAUUGGAUCAUUCACAUGAUUGCACAUUAAAUUUCUUCUUGUGAUGUCCUAUGAUACAUUACACUUGUUUAUUCUUUGAAGUGUGUGUGAGGUCUGGGUUUACACACCUGGUUGGAGCACAAGAACAAUGAUACAUCGAGCGUUAAUCAUGGAUUUUAUCCACUUGCACGGCAUACAUUUACUCAGGGGACCUGUGUCUCUUCCCACCGCCCAUAUAAUAAUAACUGCUACCUGCCUUAGAUAAAGCAAAACAUCUGUGAAACAGCAGGGUUACUGAGCACACAACACAGACCACCAUUACAAACAGACCACUGCACACUGGGCCCUAUCUUAUACACCUGGGGGGCCAGAUAAGCCUGACAAUAAAGCUGAGUAGUGGGGUGGGUGGGGGUGGGGGUUUAGGGAUUGCUUAGGAGUUGAUCAACCAGUGAAAAAACUCGGCAGGCUUAGGUUGUAAAGGUGGAGGAAGGUGAACGAUACAAUAUAAAAAAUUGCAGGGGGUAGACAGAGGGUAAAUUAAGAAGAGAAGUUUGAUCAGUAUUUGUUUUUUGUUUGUGUCAUUAGGUGUAAUUAUCCCUGAUGUUUAAUUGCUGUGUCUGUCAAGGGUCAAUAAGCCCAAGGAGGCAGAGAGGAAAAAGAGACGUUACCGUGAAAAGAGAGCAAUGGAACACAGAAGUAAUCCUCUACCCUCUUUAUCCUCUUACAAACUCCAGGUUUGCACUCCUGCUUCAGGCUUCAUGUCACAGCUCUCCUCAAUGUUUGUAGAGAACAACAGUUUGGAUUCCGUGUCGACUCAAAGCUGCAGCCAAAUGUCAAUAAGGCCUAAAAUAAACAGCUCAAAUAAAGAGGUGAAACUGAAACAUUAUCUUCAAACUGAAGACAGAGAUGGUGUGAUGAGAUUUAGAGCUGUGAAAUAAUUCACAAUUUCAAUAUUUCUUAUACUGCGUGGUACCACCUUCACAAUUACCCCACUGCCAUAAAUAAGAAAACCUUUUAGUUAUCUGUUUAUCUGUUGGAUGGAUGUCUCAGUAAAAUGACUACAUAUUAUGAAGCUGCACUCAGUUUUUAAAGGAAAAAGAAAGCAAAUUAUUUUUUCAUUAUUUUGUAUUAACCAAAAACCUGCUGCAAAAACAGGAAUAGUGUGUAAUGGGUCCUUCAAACCUGAAGUGUUGCCGUGUGAGGGCUCUGGUGGUGUGAUUUUUCUUUCGGCAUGUCAACAGAUUAUACUGUUCAUGCUGCUGGUGUGAGCAGCAUGUCUCUUGUACACCUCUUGUCUGUCCCAAAUAACAAGAAUUUGGGAAAGUAGAAAGCUUGUUUAUUUGCCUCUGAGGGCCGCUAGUGUAUUCAGGCAAAAAUAGGCCCAAUAAAAAGACAGAAAAUAAAAAAAAGAAGAUAAGUUGAGGGCUUAGUUUCAGCUGUAUUGACCUGGAAACUACAGUAAAGCAGGAAUGACAUUCAAAACAAAAGCCCAAUCAGUUUUUUAUUUAUUUUUUCCUGUGGACAGAUUUCACACAGUGCUUUUAUUUUGAAAGGUUUAUCCAGGACAGCUAUAUGGUAAAGAGAACUCCACGAGAACCUUUUGCAUAAAGACAGUUGUCACAAAAAAAGCUGACAGCAGGUAAAUUGUAUCACUCAUUAAAUAAUCUCUGCUUUGAAAUAAAAUAGACGAGUGCUGUUGUCUGCAAAGUGCUAAGGCUGUCAAACCUGAGAAAUAAGAUGAAGAAGAAGAAGUAUGCAGUGCUGAGAGAGUGAUUUGGCCCUGGUAUUGAAGCGACAAGAAAAGGUUUUGUUGGAUGAAUGUGGACAAAGUGACAUACAUACCAUGUAUCAAAGAAGGUCCUUGAAGAUCACCAUAAGCAACCAUGAUGGGGGAGGUGAGCAAGAGUGUGUCUAACCAUUAGAUAUUUUUAAAUAUACCCCUCCCUACAACGGAGGAGGAUUAGGGCCACUGCGAAAAAAAAAAAAAAUUGAAUCUUUUUUUUUUGUGUAAGUAUUAUUCUGAAAUUAAAGUCAAAAUUCUGACUUGACUUUUUUUUCAGUGGUCCUAAUCCUCUUCCAUAUUCUACACACUGUACCUUAGACAAAUGUUGAAAUUACUGUGGUAUGUUUUGUAUAUUAGCAGUGACUCUUACAUGUGAAUGGAAAUCUUGUAUUGCUUUUUCUCUGCUUCAUUUUCAUAUUUGAAUGUUUGUACCCCCAAAAAACUCAAGAAAUUAAGAUAUGCUUAUGCAACAUGCACAGUAGAUUUAAGUUAUGUUCAAUCAAGAUGUUGACAUAGGCGUUUCACUUGCCCUUGAUUUGAUUAAAUGUAUCCAAAUUUAAUUAUCCAUUGCUGUCCAGUUUAUCCCCACCCUGUACUCUCCUCUUCAAAUUACAGUCCUCUUUCAUAAAUGACACCGUGCCCUAAGAAAGAUGGUGUAGUGCUUUUACGAGCUCAUUAGGAGAACAAUAUUGUACUUUGUGCUAACUCAUUAUGGGAGGAAUUUAGAGCUGCAAACACAAUGUUUGUACAUGUAAUCAAGAGUCAGUGAUGAGGAUGAGAUGAUGAGCAGAUUUUCUGGAUAAAUGAGCACACGAGAGAAUUAGUCCAUAAUGACGCCUUUUAUGGUCAUGCAGCAGAAGUGGGAGGAGGUGGGGGUCAAGGAGUAAGGAGGGGGAGAAAACCCAUGAAGGACAGACUGUGAUUCACUUGGCUGCUUGUAGGUACAGGUGAAGACGUGAGCAAUAAAGAAGGCAUUUUUGAAAAUAACUGCAUAUUAAACUCUGAUGGCUAAACAUGCGAGUGCUCUUAUUUUAAGGAAAAUAUCUCAGUCGCAGAUAUUUUCUGAUUCCUGGUGCCGAUAAAUAAUUUGGUGUUAUCAGUUUUAAUGCACUUGUGCAUUCACUUGUGGGUUCAAAUUUGAAUCAGAAUUAACUGAAUCUGUCAGAGAAGUUAAUUUGGCCUUCACAUGCAUGCACAGUACUUGAUGAUUUCAUCUCCAUGCAUGAUUCAGAGCUUGCCAAAGCUAAAUCCAAUCUUCAGCCUCAGUGUGGAGGAUUGAAACAGUUAAGGUUGUACAAUAAAGUAUUUAAGAAAAAAAAAAUUGCUGAGACCCACUCUCUGAGUCACAUAGAAGCUUAGCUUUAGAGAAAUGAUGGAAUAAAAGAAAUCAGUUCGACAUGGAUAUCCCUUUUUGCAUCAGCCAAGCAUUAGAGAUCAAAUUUUAAAUAAAUCUAAUAGAUUAUGUACGUGUUCGUCUGCCAUGUAAUUUUCUCCAGGCUGUACCUCUAUUUCAGAGGUGAGUCAGCCUUCAAAUUGUGUCAGUUGUCAAUCAACACCAAAGACACAAGUUACCAUGGGAACAGUGGUCACACCAAUAAUUGCCUCAAUAGUCUUUUGAAACAGUGAAAUAUCAGAGUCACAUGUUAGGGUUGGCUUGAAAUAGAGCCUGUGGACCCUCUGAUGUUUCUACCUCAUGUUGUGGUUCUGUUUUUUUUUAAUUUUUGUGAGAAUUUCAUAGAGAGGAGAAAUUAAUCAAAAUGAAAAUAACAACAAGGCGGUGGGCCUAGGAGAACAAAAAGAAAAAGAGAUAUGUCUGUUGUAUUUUUAGGUUCAGCUCUACGAAAUUAAAAUCACUGAUGUCUUUGACAAUCACCCUUUCGUGUCUUUAAAAGCAGCUCUGGACCCUGCCUUACCAAAAGGGGCAGCCCCAUUUUAAGUAAAACCCUUGAGAAAUAAAAACCCAUCAAUCAAAUCACGUCAGCAGUACCAGUUUCCAGUUUAUUCCAUCUCCCCUGUUGGAUUAAAAUUUUUGCAUGCCUCUCAUAUCUCAUCAAUGAUUUAAAAUGACCUGAUUCACUUGUUCUCUUUCUUUAUCUUGGGAGAGAAACGAUACACACAGGGAGAAGCAGAGCGUGUGAGACAGUGAAUUAUGUACAGUAAGUGAGUUGACGCAAACUGCUAAAUGAGAUGGAGUCUAUGAAGGCAGGCACUUCCAACUCAACACAUGCACUUCUGAGUAAAUUAGAAAAAUAACAGUUUUUUUUUUUUUUUUUAUCCUCCAGUGUUCACUUGCUUACCUUGGCUCUUCUUCCUCUCUUCCUCACUCACUCACAAUCUCUAUCUCUUUCUUUCUCUCUCUCUAUUCCUGCUGACAAAGAGAGAACUAAAAAGUGCCAACCCUGUUCUCUCUAAGCUUGAACCCUGUGCGCAGGCGGAAUAUAGAGUUUAGCUUUUAUUUUCCGUGUGACUUUUUGUUCAAUGAGAUUUGAGAAGGUGACUUUUAUCCCUCUGGGAAGAAAAAAAAAAAGAGGAUGCUCUUAUGCUUUCACGCAGACUACAGCAAUUGGUUGGGUGAGAAAAAUAAAAAGGAGGAGGGAAAUAAAAUGAAAAGCUACUGCAUGGGGACCCAUUUGCUUAGUAACUGCUGUCUUUGUAUUUGACUCCUGGACUGCUUACCGGGACAAAAAAAGCAGGCAGAGGGUAUAAUGAAAUACAAAGAUGUAUUAUGGGAUAUAAGUAAUGGAGCCAUGCACCCAGAUAUUUCAAGGCUUACUCUCUACGUUUAAUUUCCUCUUCAGAGAAUGAAAUGACCCACUGUAUUAACCUUGAAGGGGAGAGGGAAGAUGCCUUUCUUUAAGACUAAAAAGAGAGAAUAAUCAUCUCUAGAUUGUGCAGUCACAGAGGACAGAGCUUGGUGCUGAACUCAGGGUUACACUUCCUAACAAAAACAUCCGGGGACAAGCAGCAAGUUUCUAACAUCAAGGUGCAAGUCCGCUGCAUAAGUUGCUCUUCCUUCUUGGCUGAUCAAAACCCUCACGUCCCGCAUGUCUGACAGAAACACCGCAUCCAUUUCUAAUGAGUCCAGUGGGGACAUUUUCCUGAGAGGUUGCCUGUGAGGCUGCCCUCAGGGUCAGGGAAAGACGGGUCACAGGGAUACUUUAAAAUUGUGAUUAGCCCCUCGGGUCAAAGAGGGGUUGAUCUGUAGUGCACCUUGAGGUCCGGUUCAAUAAACUACUCCCAAGUGAGUGUCCUAUUCUCCUUCAUUUCCCCUUUUCCCUUCCCCACAGCAGCACAGUGCAGUGUUUGUUGAUUUUGUUUUGGGGAGACAUUUGGUAAACAAAAGAGUUCUUUGACUUUUUGACUUGGUUGUCCUAAAGACUAUAUAAAUCUGUAAAAGUUGUACAAAUUUAGUUAUCAUAUACCAACAGUUGAAAUUCGGUGGGAGUAUUGUAUAAACCACUGCAUGUGCGUACAUAUAAUAAACCUAAAACUUUUGGGUUCUACCGCCUAUUUCACUAAAAAAAAAAAAAAAAAAAAGUCAAUUCUCUGCUGGGUUUAUCCUUCUAUCAUGUAUCGUACAAGAAAUACUGGACUGGAAUGCUUGCAUUGGUUAUAUGACACAAACAAGAUGCAGCAUUCUGCCAAGAAAACUAGUUUGAACAUAUUGUUCGGAUGUGAAGGUCUGGGCAGUCAGUAUUCUAAAGAUAACAGAAAGCUCUUUCAAAACAAGACUUGGGAAAUAUAAAUCUGGUUCAUCCUGGCAUGUUGACACAAUAAGACAUGUCAAUUAGACAAACUGCGUGAGCACACAGAGCAAACAAUAGAAACAUGAUUUGUGCUCUGUAUCAUAAAGAUGGCAUGCGACUCCUCAGAGUCUCCGAACAAAGUAAAUAACAUCUGAUCUAGCAAGACAACUGACACAGUGGUAUAUAAUCAGCAUUUACCAGAAUGACUAUAUUUCAGCCCUUAUGCAUGUCCAUAAAAAUCCUAACUCCUUAAAUAAUAUUGAUUUCUCCAGAAAAAUACAACCUAAAAUAGUAAAUUCUAAUGAAAAAGACAAGAGUCAUUAAUUUUAGGCUCUUGGCAAACUAACCCCCAGUUUCCGCCACAUCCGGAAUGGCAGCUAAAAGGCUGUAUGCGCUAAUAGCAGCUGAUGGUUUCCAUUCAAGUUAAUGGGCUCUGUUUUCGUGCCUCGCCGAAGACGUGCCGCAGGCGCAGCGUAAGUCAGGUCCGCCGCGCCGACAUGGCGUUCCCAAGCACAAUUUGGUAUUUUGGUGAGCGGCGCAGCCUGGCAUAAGUAUCCCCCCUCCCUAACUCAGCUCCUCCCAGCGGCGUAAGGGAGGGUCACUUCAAGGGAGGAGAGAGGGCGGAGAGUGGAUUUAACACAGCCGAGACCUGUAUUGACCAAUCACAUAAGCUCCUCUCAUUGCCUUUAAAUCCGCCACCGGCGAGGCGUAUUCCAAUUUUAGUGAAGUAGUCAAAGAGAUCAAGAGAUGUCUGAAGACAGUUCUGCCACACGAUGGCGACAGAAGGCAGCUUCUCAACAAGUGUUGCUGUAAACGCUGCAGAGGGCGUCCUCCACACUCUCUCAUAUGAGAACAGAUGGAUUUGGUGUGUGUAAUGUUGGACCCAUUGGUAAGCACAAAAAUGUCACUGCGCCAGCUGAUUCUGUCGACACCUCCCCCUGCCACGCCACCACGCCCAGCUUGGCAGACCUCGGUGUGCCUCAGUCCACGAAAAUACCAAACUGGCUGUACGCCGGGCUCUGCCAGAUGAAAAUACAACUGUGCGGGGUCUGCCGCCUCACCAGCGUACACGAAAAUAGAGCCCUGAAAGUUGAUUUGAUGUUAUAAUGUUUAUGUUGACCUAAAUGUUAAUACAAGGAAUAGUUGAUAAAACCUUCACCUCCAGUAAAGUUAGUCACAUUUAGUAUUUAGUGUUUUUACUGCUUAAGUUCACUGCCAAAAUGCAGCACUGUGGCAGCGAAAAACAUUGACACUGAGAUAAAAAGACUGGUUGUGCCUCAGCCAUGAAUAUCCUGCCUUACAAAAGCCAGCUGUUGUUUCUAUACUAGACCUUGAUAAGCUGUUUGAGGGCAGAAAGAGAUGCUUCACAUUGAGUUAAAUGUGUUUAAAAGAUUUCAUCAUCAAUAGGCGAAGGUUGAGGUUGUUAACUUGAGAAAGAUCAAAGAUACAAACCUUGCUUGUACAGAGCGAUCUAAAAUAACUUCUGGAGCUUUUGUAGAUUUUUGUAGAUAAUGCAUGGACCCUCAUGAAUUUAAGAUGCUUGGACUGAACCCUUUACUGGACUAGGAUUGUGGUGACCCUCUCUUUAGCAGGAGGGAUGGGAGCGGGAGGGUGAGUGAGCUUCAUACGUCCAACAGAUCGAAACAUUGAUUUUAAUAUAAACUUCUAUUCAUUUUGAACAAAAUUAACAGGUUACCUGAGAUAACCUCUUUGUCAACAGAAGAGUUUGGGACAAGGAGGAGAGAAGUUGGACAACUUAAUUGUAGAGACGCAUUAUGGCAUAACACUAAUCAAGAGGGUCAGCUCUCAUCCACUUCAAACGCCUGGGGAAACUGCAGGCCAGCACACUGCAAUUGCUGUUGUCAGAUAUCCUGGGCUCCAGCUGCAGAACAGUCACAAGUCAGUGUGUUAUUAGCAGAUUUAGCAGGUUUAACAAACAGUUUGCACCAUUAAAAGGCGACUGGAUGCUGUGUCAUUCAAACACAAAACGUAUUUUAUUCAUGAUUAAACUUUCCAACAGACUCAGACAUCAUUAGAACCUAAAUGCUGUUCUGUGGGCUUAAAAGAAGGGCUCUAAAUAUUAAUUUAUGUGUUGUGUGCUGCUAAAACAUAGAUUUAUUCUGUACAGGACACAUAAUCGACACUGUGUAGUUAUGCUAAUAAGUGUGGAAUGUUAAAUUAACAUGAACAAUGUUUUAUGUACGCGUACUUAUCAGUGUAUUUGUGUCUGUGGGCAUGAUGGAGAGCUUGGUGUUGGUCUUCCCUUUUAGCCUGGGCAGGAAUCUUCCUGAGGUGUCAUAGGCCUGUAAAGGGUAGCAGUGAUCAUGUCCUCCCAUGCCCCAUUGAUUUUCGCUGUACACUAAUUCCUACGGGAUCCGUUUGUGAAGUGAAUUUCGUGGCGGAUUACGGACAGCAGGAAUCGCAACACUCACAAGAACCCGCAGAUUUAUGUGCAAUCACGCAUUAACAAGUUGUCUUUAGCCACAUAGGCUAACCAUAUAAGCAUUAGACUGUGUCCUUCCAGAGAAGAAAAUCUACUUCUAGACUUAUAACAUCUGCAUCCCCUCAUCCAUGGUGUCAUCUGGAUAAAAUGUUGUCUAUAAACCUUUUACUUGUUCGUCCCCGCCCACGUUUGCAUGGUGUGAAAUAUGAUCCGCCUGAAACACAGAGCGUUUUAUUUUGAAAAGAAGCCGGAUGUUUUAAUUUGUGUCUGUGCCAGAUUUCCUUUCCAGCACAGGUUAAUCUGGGUUGAAUUUAUCUGGCAUGCUCCGGCUUCUGGAAAAAACAGAACUCUUGCGGUCAGCUGCAAAGUCCUGUGAUCCGCAGCGGAAUGGAAAGAAGCCGGUGGAAAUUAGCACAUUAACUUGAAUGGUUAUGAUUAGCUAUGAUCUGCGGAUACGGCCUUUUCAUAGCCAUUCCAAUCUUUGGGUACAUUGAAACAUACUUUGAUGCUUCCAACACUCCUAGCUGAAAUCAGUGCAACUACAGAGGGAAAAUGGUUCCUCAAGGCCAACCACUUACAUGUCAAGAACUACCCUGUUGAAAAAAAGUCUACAAUUUAAUCAGAACUAAAGGAUCUGGAGCUGAAGGAUGCCCUCCUCUUUUUUAUCUGCUGUGAGGAGGCUGCUCAGCUCCCUGCACUAACAAUAACAGAACAGCCACAUUACACUACCUAGCAGUAUGCUCCAUGUUAACAGAUGCCUCUGAUAGUUUCUUGUCAAGAUUAUCCGUGCUGCUUGGGGCUGACUUGUGUUUUUUGGAGGAUGGUGAGAAGUGAAGUUAACAAAUGACAAAACAGGCCGAGCUAAUCAUGGUUCGGGCCCCCUGAUACGGAACUGCACAGACACGUCCUCCAGCUAGUGUGCUAUAAUGCAUCUCUCUGGCUGUUUUCUGUUAACUCUGCUCUUUCAAGGCCAUCCAUUCUAUGGUGCCUGCCUGACGUUGCUGCAGUCUUCCCAGCCUGCUCCCUACCCCCCCAACUACCUUUACAAUCCGUCUGCUCAGUUCUGGUGCUCUCUUUUCUGUAGAGCCAGAAGGAGAAAUAUAGCUGUCUUCUCAACAAAGCCAAAAAAAAAAAAAAAUCCACCUUGAGUUGUCUCUGCCAUUUCACUGGAGACAUUUUCCAGAAAGAAGACAUUAUCUGUUCCAUUGUCCUGUGUUCAUGAUUCUGUCCUGAUUACAUACAAGGAGACUCCCGGCACAUGCUCCAGCACAUCUCAAAUGCUGACUGCGACACUUUCCUUUCCACACUGAUUCCCUUUUUAUUGCUCAUUCAACAACCUCCAGCAAUGGAGAUUGCACUACGUGGCAAGAUGGUGUGUAUCCUCACCCAUUCAGCGGCUGUCAGGACACUUUAUCAUUCUGAUGGUUUGGUCAAGUGAAGACUGGUUGGGCCCUAACUGCUUUCUCUCUGACCUGCAAGCCAUACACUCCGUAAGAGAUAAAAACGCAGAGGUUUCACAGACAGAGAUACUGUAUUCUGCUGAAAAGAAAAUCAUACACUGAGGAUAGUGUGAAGCAGGGAUGUUUCACCACUAUCAAUGUCAUCCAUCAUGCUGUACACGGUUUAUUUUUUUUACCUUCAAAUGUUCAGCUUAAGUCCAGCAUCCAGCAGCUACAGCAACCUGUCAAGGAACUUCAAAAUCCAGGUCUUUUUUGUUUUGCUUUUUAUGAGUGUGUCGUUCAGGAUGUACAAACAAACAUCAAAGUUAAUCCCCUCAGCUCCCAGUUGACUGAAAUGUUGUGUUUUCUUUAACUAAGGGAAAGCUUAAUAUAUUGGGACAAUGUCUCUGUAGACCUCUGAUUACCACACUGGAUAGCUCAUCUAUAACCUUUUAUUUCUGUUUAUGUUCCACUCUGGCCGUGCCGUGCCAUAAUCUGAGAGGCACUAAAAGGAAAUAAACAGUCCUCUCAAGAUACGCCUAUUUAUACUCGAAAUCCCCUUUUUUAGAGUACACACUUUCUUUCCAUAUCUACAGAAAUACUGUGACUAUAUUAACAUAUUUUUUGUACCGACUACAGCAGCUUAAAGGCCGUUAACACACCUGUGGUUAAGGGUACAGUGUAAAAAAACAUACUAGUUAAUGGCUAAUAUCCUGCAUUACAUGACAGACUUUGGCUUGCGUAACUUCAAAGUUGCUGCAGUUUGCUCAGUAAAGGUUUUACAAGAUUGUACAAGAAAGAGUUCCUACUUCCCUACUAAGGCUCUAUUCAAAAAUGGUCUUUUCUGGUGAGAGUUAAUAGUAUGCAUUUUAAACAUAAUUUCAUCAUACAUACACCAAGAAGCUUUUAGUUACUGUAUGGGAGGUCAUGUCUAAUUACCUUCCUCACUAAAGUGUUGUACAUUUACAUUCCUGAAAGCCACUAAGAAGCUGUUCAUGGUGUGUGACACUUUAGCAAUGCAGCCAGAAUAAUGAUGCUCCAAUAAUGUGUGACAUGAACCUUUUUGUAUACAAAAAAAGAUCCAUCUAUGUAUUCCCUGAAUAAAAGCAUCAGUGCGAGAAUUUACGAAGAAGAUCAAAGAGCAGUCGGAAAACAAGAUGCUGGGGGGAGGUGUGUGUGUGUGCGGCAAGUCUUUGGGGGCACGCAGUGUAAUUUAAAUGAUUUGGCAGAAAGAAUGAUGUCUCAAAAAUUCAAAUGGAGAUCACAGGCGUGUAAAGAUAUUUGAAUUUUUUAAGUUCAAGGAGGUUUCCGAAUUCGUUUGAUGUUCUGAGUUUUUUUUACUUUUAUUGAGAUUCAAACUUUUCUCACCCUUUCAUGUUCAAGUGACUUUUGCUCUCAAAAAGAGCCAUUUUUAACUGUGUCCUUAAACUGAUACUUGAACAGCAUACAAAGCUCAUGAAAUCAAUGUGUGAUUUACUCUUGUUACAUAUCCUAUAUUUCUUUCUUUCACAGAAUUAGGCAGUUUGCUGUUAAAGUAAUCUCUGGCCAUGUCGGUUUAGAACUUUUAAACUCAAAAUGGCCCGUCACCUUAAAAUCUUAAGAUAUUAUCCUUGAAUGCCUUUUCAGUGUUAUUAAAAAAUAAAAAGUACAAUUUUAAUCUCUGAUAGAAAUGCUACUAACCCCCCCCCCCCCCCUAUUUAUUUAUUUAUUUAUUUUUUUUGCCGGUGAGGCUUAAAAAGCAGUGGUGCUGUGAUGAGUUUUAAAGUGGGGUGGCACUGAGAGAGGUAACAUACACCCACUUAUACCUGGCAUUAAGAGAUGUUUUCUAUGAUCAGAUUGCAAUGGGCUCUAUGCACAGCUCCACUAUUUCCUGAAUUUAAGGCAGCUGCUUUAUUUCCUGUCUUACAUUUUUGAACAAACUGGUUAAUCCAGGUGUGCCCUGGUAGUCACAACGAGCUGCCUUAAGUUCAGUAAGUAGUGGAGCCGUGCAUAGAGCCCACUGGGUUGCACUUGACCGCAAACAUUUACAUCUGGUAUAUGUGGCCAGUCUGCAUAUUGCUAUCUGAAUGUGAUGUGUUGGCACCAUAGACUGUAUAUACUAUGGACAACUUGGUUCCGCCUCCCGCCUGUAAACGGAUUUGAAGCCAAAAAGCUCUCGAUAUUUCUGGGAUUUUUCUUCAUUUCCUGAAACCAGAGCUGCGCAGUAGCGAUGCGCGCAUUCGGCCGCGCAGUCGCCAAGAGUCGCUGUGAUGACGCUCGGCUCAAACAGCGUAUCCCCCGGGAGAGCUAUGCAAUCCCUGAACGCCCAUAGGCUGUACCUCAAGUUUACCUCAAGAAAACUUGUGUUGUUGGGAGAGGGAGUAGGGGGGGGAAGGGGUCCUUCUCUAUUGAAACUGCUCAUCUUCAACAAAAAGUAGAAUCCAAUACAAAGUUUACAAACUACAAAGUACUGGAUGACAGUAACAAUAUUUCUUUUAUGGGGUAACUAAGUAAAGUAACGCACUACACUUAAAAAUCUGUAACUUAAAGGGAUAUUCCGGCUAGAAUUAACUUAAUUUCUUGAUCGAUAUACUUUUGUGAUCUAAGGCUGGUAAUAUUCAUGCUAUGUAGCCUUGUAUUCAUGAAUGCGUCUGGCUGUGUCAUGAGCAAAUAUCAAUAUACUUAAUAAUGCACAUGGCGUGAUAUUGGAGGAUACUUUUAGAAGCCAUACAAAAUUAACUACAGGAUGAGUGAGAUGUAAACAACUGACACAGCAACAGUGAGGAAGGUUACUUGUAUAUUAAUGCUAAGAUCAAGGCAGAAAAAAAUGACAGAUGAAGCAACAUAGGUGGUAUUUAUGUUUGCACUCGUCUCAUCAGCUUCAAAGCUUUGCCUCAUUUUAACCCCUGCUGCUGUCAGCUUUGUUAAAUCCACUCUGUCUCUACACCGUCUCUGCUGUUUAUGUACAUACAGCAACCUGUGUCUGCCUCACAUUAAUGCAAUGCAAUGAGGUAAUUCCUUUCUGUCUCAGCUUAAUUUACAGGUUUGUACAACUGCAGUGUGGUGAGAGAGGCACUCCCUCUGCUCUCGCUUCUGACCCAGGGGCAUUUUUUGUGAGCUCAGUGGUUCACAUGUAUGCAGCUUAGAAACUUUGACAGAAAAUGAGAGCCUUAUGUUGACUCAGACAUGACUUGCCGCUGGGUAAUUAUGCUACAUUACAUUAGAUUUCAUCAGGAAAUAUCAGUGUAUAAAGUCUACAUGAGAAAGGAUGAAAACUUUGUCUGAAGGCUGAAUGUCUAUUUUAAAAGUUGUUACUACUUUCUCACCCUAACGUCUAAGCAGGGGCUCAAAAGUCUUGGUGUUUCCCCAAUUUUUGGCACAAGAGUCCAAAAGCAUUUUAUAUUUAGAACACUAUAUACUAAUUUCAGCAUACCAAGGGGCAUGACCUACUAAGAUCCAAAAUAGCAAGCGCUAAAUUGCGUGUGCUAACAGGAAUUGCAUGUGCUCUUAGUGGGCAUGUUGCGAGUGAACUACUAUCAUUUGGUGCAAUUGAUAGCGGGUGCAAAAGUGGUGUGGACCACCCUCUUUAAACGAGGAUUUUGCGUGCGCCAUCGGCUGUCACCAUGGAGAGUUUGUGAGAGCAGAGUGUUUGAAGCCAUGGAGUUGCACAUAUCGUAUUGGGGAACUGCAUAAAAGGCAAGGCAAGUUUAUUUGUAUAGCACAAUUCAUACACAAGGCAAUUCAAAGUGCUUUACAGAUGCAAGAAGAUAGACUAGUAAUCAAAAAAGAGAUUAAACGAUUUAAAAUAAGACAAACAGAUACAUUUUUUCGUCUGUUUUGUGUUUGACGUUGUUAUAUAUGAAAAUCGUCAUUUACCAGAAAAACGAAAUAAAUCACAAUCAUGGCACUUCUGCAUCCUUCUCUCCACAAUGACCGCAUGUAAUGCUGCUCCAGUUUGCACAUGACUUUCAAAUGUGCUAAAUAUAGGCGCAGAACAGCGACCGCAAUCGGUUUCCGGGUUUGAUAAAUCACAGUGCGGGUGCUAAAUGAUUCCAUUUGCAUCUGCUCCUCCCAGAAUUUUGUGCGUUCUGAUGAUCUACAUACAUUCUGCAUAUUCAUGAAGGCAAACAUGCUAAAUCGAUUGCGCAUGCUGUUUUGCUCAUUUGACAGACGCAAUCCUCAGUGCACCCAGUUAGUAGAUCAGGUUUGCGUGCGCUAUCAAGUUCGCACAUGUUUUUGCACACGCAAACCUUUAGUAGAUUAAGUCUGCACUGCAAAGUAUAACUUAAUAUUACACACCAUACCUUUAAUCCUACAAACUUUCUACACAGAGAAUUAGAUCAGCCAUUAGGUAUGAGCAAUUUCUCUGUGCUUUCAUCAAAGCUGUUGAAAGGACCCCAAAAAAAAAAGAAAAAAAAAAAAUGCGAAAAAAGGAGCGAUGCAGACAAUACAUGCAGUCCUGUUAGUAGUAAAAGCCUAGAUUAUUACUCUGUGCAAAUAACAGCAGGUGCAGCUGUUUCCAAUUGUGCAGCUGACUCACUCAGGCUUUCAUGCAAAUGAAGUCUGCAUUGUCUUUUCAUCUCGUCCACCAGAUGGGAGGAUCAAGUUGAAAGGAAAAUAAAGUUUUGCAGGUGUAUUAAAGUCCAGGCAUGCGCAGUAAAAUACAUGAUGGGACCAUAAAUCAGAUCUUUUUUUUCCCCUUUUCUCCUUGUACUUGUUUUAUGCAUCAUCACACUGUCAGCAACAGCACUGUGUGUAAUGUCCAAAUAUAAUACCAGUCUAAGAUAUGGUUGAUAUAAGAGCUGAAGUGUAUCAGGGAAUACAUUUAUACACAGACGUGAAGCAAAUAUAACCUCUUCUAAACUUCUUAACUUAUAGCUGCUGCAUUAUUAUGCUUCCCACCAUGACUGAUCUUCAGAAUAUUGUCUUGAAAGAUCAAUUUAUCACUUAGUAAGUAAAAUGUUAGAAGAGGUGUAAAAUACUCAUUUAUAUUUAUACAUUUCCUGAAGUGCAAGGUGAAGGUAUUGAUUUCAUGUUUAAAUCUGGCUUGCCUGCCCAGAGGUCCAAAACUAUGUCUGUUUAAUGUCAUUUAUUACAGGAUUAGACACUGUGAAUGGGAGGUAAAUCCUCUGGAAGCAGCCAUAACUCUAAUUACCUCCGCCAAGGAGGUUAUAUUUUCGGUAGCGUUGGUUUGUUUGUUGGUUGGUUUGUUUGUUUGUCUGUUAGCAACUUUACGGAGAAAGUUACAGACGGAUUGACCUGAAAUUCUCACCAGAGGUGCGUCUCAGCCCCAGGAGGAUCCCAUUACAUUUUGGUGGUGAUCCGGAUCGCCUUCUGGAUCCAGGAAUUUUUUGAAGGAUUCUUUAUCAUUGUGAGAGAGGGCAAAUUUGGGAAUUUUUGCAUUUAACUCUAUAAAAAUGGCCAGAGUCUUUAGUAAAAAAUUACACAAAAGGAUCUCAAUGAGUUUUAUGAGGUGUCAAAGGUUGAUCCUGAUCCAGACAAAAUUCCGGAUACUGUGAUCCAGAACACACAAAAAUAAGGGUGUCAUUGGAAUUUUCAAUGCUGAAAGAUAACCAAUGGGCGGCACAGUGGUGUAGAUGGGUGGCACAGUGGUGUAGUAGUUAGCACUGUCGCCUCACAACCAGAAGGUCAUGGGUUCGAAUCCGGGUCAGGGCAUUUCUUGUUUUAGGAACAUUAUGAACAGUGAACAUACCAGUUUAAACACAAAUAAACGUUAAUAAAAGACACGUAACAGUAAAAGUUUUGGUGUGAAUCACAAUUUAAGGGGGGACAUGACCUGCUUGGCGGAGGUCUGCGCUCUCCGAGUGCUUUUCUAGUUAUCUGAUUAUUUUUUGCUUAAAAACGACUGAAAUGACUGAUUAUCAAACUGCUGCAAAACUUAAUUCUAACUGACUGUGAAGGUAAUCCUAUUCUUGCAAUAUUUCCAGGAUGGCAAAGUCCCUAAUUUUACGGGUCAAACAAGUUGCUUAUUAAGCAAAACAGAAGACAUACAAUCAGUGUUGGGGGUAACCAUAGACUGUACACUCACCGGCCACUUUAUUAGGUACACCAUGCUAGUAACGGGUUAGACCCCCUUUUGCCUUCAGAACUGCCUCAAUUCUUCGUGGCAUAGAUUCAACAAGGUGCUGGAAGCAUUCCUCAGAGAGCUUGGUCCAUAUUGACAUGAUGGCAUCACACAGUUGCCGCAGAUUUGUCGGCUGCACAUCCAUGAUGCGAAUCUCCCGUUCCACCACAUCCCAAAGAUGCUCUAUUGGAUUGAGAUCUGGUGACUGUGGAGGCCAUUUGAGUACAGUGAACUCAUUGUCAUGUUCAAGAAACCAGUCUGAGAUGAUUCCAGCUUUAUGACAUGACGCAUUACCCUGCUGAAAGUAGCCAUCAGAAGUUGGGUACAUUGUGGUCAUAAAGGGAUGGACAUGGUCAGCAACAAUACUCAGGUAGGCUGUGGCGUUGCAACGAUGCUCAAUUGGUACCAAGGUGCCCAAAGAGUGCCAAGAAAAUAUUCCCCACACCAUGACACCACCACCACCAGCCUGAACCGUUGAUACAAGGCAGGAUGGAUCCAUGCUUUCAUGUUGUUGACGCCAAAUUCUGACCCUACCAUCCGAAUGUCGCAGCAGAAAUUGAGACUCAUCAGACCAGGCAACGUUUUUCCAAUCUUCUAUUGUCCAAUUUCGAUGAGCUUGUGCAAAUUGUAGCCUCAGUUUCCUGUUCUUAGCUGAAAGGAGUGGCACCCGGCGUGGUCUUCUGCUGCUGUAGCCCAUCUGCCUCAAAGUUCGACGUACUGUGCGUUCAGAGAUGCUCUUCUGCCUACCUUGGUUGUAACGGGUGGUUAUUUGAGUCACUGUUGCCUUUCUAUCAGCUCGAACCAGUCUGGCCAUUCUCCUCUGACCUCUGGCAUCAACAAGGCAUUUCCGCCCACAGAACUGCCACUCACUGGAUAUUUUUUCUUUUUCGGACCAUUCUCUGUAAACCCUAGAGAUGGUUGUGCGUGAAAAUCCCAGUAGAUCAGCAGUUUCUGAAAUACUCAGACCAGCCCUUCUGGCACCAACAACCAUGCCACGUUCAAAGUCAAUCAAAUCACCUUUCUUCCCCAUACUGAUGCUCGGUUUGAACUGCAGGAGAUUGUCUUGACCAUGUCUACAUGCCUAAAUGCACUAAGUUGCCGCCAUGUGAUUGGCUGAUUAGAAAUUAAGUGUUAACGAGCAGUUGGACAGGUGUACCUAAUAAAGUGGCCGGUGAGUGUAUAUACUAUGGACAACUUGCUCCCGCCUUCUGCUAGGAUAUGGAUUUAAAGGCAAAAAGCUCUAAGUAUUUCCAGGUUUUUUCUCCACUUCCUGAAACCAACAUUGCGCAGUAGUGUUGUACACACUUGGCUGGAGAGUCGCAGAGAGUCGUUGUGAUGACGCUCUGCUCAAACAGCGCAUCCUCCGGGUGAGCUACGCAAUCUUCGUAUGCCCAUAGGCUGUAAUCAAGUGUCAAUCAUAGAAAACAUGAACACCCGCUGCACAGAAAAAAGAGGACUUGAGCACAAACCAGUCUUACAGUAACUACAUGUCAACAUCACAAGCAGGGGGAGAAAAAUCUAUAUCCUGUGUAACUAAUUUCUAAAGUUUGUCCACAGCUUCAUAGGGAUUGCUGGAGGAGGAGGGAUUUAUGACCUAGACUGCAGCCUGUCACCAGAGGGUGCUGUUUUUACUGUGGCUUCACCCAGCAAGGAGGCAGACGGCGUUCAUUCUAUAUACAGUUGAUGGGGGCAACACACUACAAAGUAAGUGAUUACAGUUAGAAUAGCACUUUUUGGGGGGAACGAAGUUAAGUAACACACUACACUAACAAAUCUGUAACUUAAUUACUUUACUAUACAAUAGGAAUGCGCCUUUCUGCGUUACAUUAGCUGUGUCUCCCUGUGUGCAAAGUUCUGAUCUGUUGAGGUGGUUCAUGUUUGUGUGCUACAUGUGUGUCUGUGAUAAUAGGCAGGGGUUUGGUGCUCAUAAGGAUUAAUCUUUAGCUUGUCUCUGUACGCUCUUCUUUCACAGGAUUAAUUUUUCUUGGGUGUUUUUUUUCUCACUGUGUCGCUAUUUCGCAGCCUCCCUGUCGAAUGUAAACAAAAAGUUGCCUGCAAAGAUGCCACUUUCCGACCCAACAUACAUUACGCAGUCAUGUGGCCUUUGAAAGUCCGAUGCAGAGAUGGAUUUGAGUGACAUAGCUGCUACUUACUUUGGCUAUAUUAGUCAAAAGGACACAAAUAUUCGUGUGAAAUUAAGUCUAUGCUCAGGCGACAUUUAUACAGUAAACAAAAUUAUGUGGACUAUGCUCAGUGAUGAUUGGGCUAUGAUGUUUGUCCAUGUACCUCUACAGGAAAUAAAGAAAUGGGGAAGUAAAGUAAUAAGCAGUGAAGUUACUUUCCGAAUGCAGUAUCUUAUUACGAUUAACUAAUUAAUGAGUAACUAGUUACUGGUGACAGACUUUUUGUGAGUAACUACGCCAACACUGCAUACAAUAUAGCACAGGUGUAACAGGACCUCAACAGUCAGCUAGAAUAAUUAAACACACAACGACUGAAAUUGGAGAGGCGAAAAAUUAACAUAAAUAGCAUUUCUGAAAAACACAGGAUGCUCUCUGUCUUCCAUGUCUCUUUCUUGAUAUCUGGUGCAGUUAAUAAUGAUAUGUUCACCUGUUUGCAUCCCACACAUGGAGGAAAUCUAGGCCAGCCAAGCCAACCAGUUAAGCAAUUGUCUUUUUUCUUGCUUUUUUCUGAUAUUAUCUUGAAUAAAUAAUUAAAGCGAUGAACUCUUACUUUCCUUCCCUUGCAACUUGUUUAUGUGUAAUAAGCAAGCUGUAGACUAGAAGUCUGAGCCUUUUCAGAGGAUGCAGAUCAAGCCAGCACUUUAAUACUCCAUCAGUGGCGGCUGCUGGUCUUUCAAGGAGGGGAAGCUAAUUUUUUUUCUGGCCUACAUCAUAAAUGUGUUUGUUUAUUUAUAUGUAAAUUCUACCCUCUGUUCCUUUUCAACAAAAUGAUCUGUGACCCUGUUGUGGCAGAGGAGGGUCGCCAAACACAACACUAGUCGUUUUUAACAAAGACAAAGUCGCUAGAGCUCAGUAAAGUCUCUGAAUCAGUUUGGAACAACAGAAUGAAAAAAUUGGAAAAUGCUCCAGUGGAUGUUUAUACUGAUUCGCUAAUUUAGCUGUCAAUCAAAAAGGGAUUGCGUCUCAGACGGACCAGCCCAUUGACCCAUAGACCCCCAGAGAUGCUGCGCGUUCUUGGGCGGGACAAACCCAAGCAUUUAUCCAAUGACUGUCCAGUUUCAUGUAAUGGAAAAACGCACUCUACGGUUCCCCAUUGAAGUCAGUAGACACCCAGCAUCAGACUGUGUAAAGCACUGUGGCGCUGCAGGAAUGAAUGAGAAGGAAGUAGUGUCGGUUUUCUGUGAUAAUUAGCUGAUUCUGAACAAAAUGCGUUCUGGCGCAUAGUUCCUUUUAGAAAGAGUGCCUUUAGUCAAGCCACUUUUUCUGUUCGUGCUUCUCACACCUGGAAUUCAAUACCAAACACAAUACGUGAACUCCCGACUCUGACCUCUUUUACCAAACAUCCUAAAGCUUGGCUAUUGGAAGAACAACACUGUUGCCACAACCGUGCCUGAACAUGUAUAUUUGUUUAAUGCUAGCUAAUUGUUGGGGUACCAUCCGCAAUUUCUACAGAGUACAUACAUAAACAUCACUGCUUUAUUAUUAUUCAUUAUUACUACUACUCCCUCUCCCCCAUUAAUAUUUUUACUAUUUAUUAUAUCUUUAUUUACUUUUUAGGCAUUAGGACCACAUGCAAGGCAUGCACUUUAUACUCUGAGUAUUGUGCAUUUAAAAUAGCACUUUACAUUUACUGUGCAAUCGGGCAAUCUGCAAUAUAACUACGCACCUAACACUUUAGCACUUCAGCACUCUGCACUUUAAUCAGCCCUUUGACAACUCAUUUUAGCAUUUAACGCUAGUGAAGUACAUAUGGUCCCCUGACCCUUGGCCUGUAUGUUUCAUGAUCCACUAUCCUUUCAUUGUUCUUGCUUUUAUUUUUCAUUUUCUGUCCUAUUGUGUUUUCAAAGACACGUUUUCCCUCUCUGUAAUUAUUCCCCCUGCUCAUACUGGCCAUGAAGGCUAACUGUUCUACUUGUUGUUACUGUAGUUUUAUUGAUUUUAUUAUCUUAUGUUGUCAACAUCAACCUGCUGAAGGGAUCUAAAGAUGGAAAUUAGCCGUUGGCUAUAAUCUUGCAUAUUAACAUGUAUAUGUUUAUUAAUAUGUGUUGUCCCUGGUUUAAAUAAAUAAACUAAAACUAAACUAUUUAGUCAAUGAAAUGUACACACAGCAGUACAUAUUCCACCACUUUUUUUACAUUUCAGGGAAAGCUGAGCUUCCCUUGCAGUCUGAGAGCAAUCACCACUGUACUACAUUUACCUGUUUUUAUUUACUCCUGUAGCGUUAUCAGGCUGAAGUACUGUACCAUUUCUGACCUGGGAAUAGUCAGAGAUUUAAUGUAGUAAAAGUGAUCAGGUGGAUUUAAAAAUCACUACAAAGUAUAAGGCAGCCAGUGUAAGUUGGUUGAGACAGGAGUAGUUUGAUCAUGUGUCUCAGUGUUCAUCAUUCUUAAGGAAGACUGAACUGGUAAAAUCCAAAGAGACCAAAAAACUUGGGCAGUCAACAGCUAGCUGUAGGCUGUGUGAUAGAGCUAUGAUGCCAGCUGUCACUCCCUUUAGGAUUAAGAGGUUAUUUAAUGUGAGGCACAGUCUCAUCUCCGCCAGUCGUCUUUGAACUAUUAUCAAAGACACAUAAGGAGAGAACAUUUGAGGCUGUUUUUCUUCUACAUAACGGGGUUGUGGGUGUUAGCACAUACACAGUAAUUUGUAGAAUAACUUACACCAGGCCUGUGUACUGCAUCCAAUCAGGACAUGCUUUUCUCUCCAAGCUCCAUCUGUCGCUGAGGCAUGCCACUGUGUGCAUGACCCCAGCUAUGUGGGUGAGCUUUGGUGAGACUGUUAAGAGUUCUGAGGCCCAAAGCAGGAGAGAUAGGAGGAGUUGAAGACCUUGGCACGAGAACCUUUGUGGCUGACGGAGAGGGAAGAGUAACAGAUGCUUGGGUAAUCUUCAUGUAAUCUUCAAUAACACCCCUUAAAUUAUACAAAUAGUUUACUUUUUAAAUACAGCACAAGAGAGAAAUAUUGAGGAAAAGUACUGCAUGAUAUUUUUAUGCAGUGUAGAAUAAUUUAAGUAAAGUCAUGAUGCGGCUAAUUUGGUUGUGACUUUAGGUCAGAACGCUAGUUUUGUAUGUUCAUGUUAUUGGGUCAGCUACAACUUUGCUUGUGAGGAAGUUUACUGCUUUAUAGAAAUAUGAGAAAAAUUAUAUCAUUAACUCAUCGUACCAGGCUUCAGUGCAUAGAAGUUUUUUGUAAAUUCACAGUUCAAUAAACAUACUUUAUUGUGUUUGCAUUAGGAAGUUUUGAUGUUUUAUUUUACCUCCUGGAUCUCUAUCAGAAGGAAAUGGGAUGCAUAAGAAAGUAACCUCACCGUUUUUGGUUUCUUUACACCAUACAGUAUUUGCUGUUCCUAUAGAGGUUGGAGAAUAAAUAGCUAAAAGACAGGUAAAAUCUCUGCAGCUUGUGUACAACACGGCACAGAGCCAGAUCCACUACAACAAAUCACCCAACUACUGUAGGAGGUGUACAAUACCCAGGAAGAAAUAGUCUACGAAGCAAAACCGUCUCCUGCAAGUAUGCAAGCUAUCUCAGACUACAUGUGAAAGCCAAAACCACAGCAAAUGAAGAGUUGAAAGUUACACAACUGAUCUUACAGCUUCACAGACAUAUUUUGAUCUAUUUCCUUGAAAAAAUAUUCAAACUUUUAAUUUAGAUUUUUGUUCGAUUUUUAUUCAAUGAAAACAUGUUAUCAUCUGCAGUUGUUCAGCUUUCCCUGAAGGUCCAAAAUGUGUCCAUAAAGCCAAAGUACAUAUCAAACUGUGUUGCAGCGCACCCCUAAUGUUUGUCUACUGGCAAUUCAUCUGCAGUCGGCACAAACCCCUGAAUGUGCUCGCCAGGUUUACAUGCCCACAGGAAGACUUUGAGAAGCUGCGCCACAGAGUUAAUGCUGAAUCAACAACAGCUAAAGUAUAACUUCAGGCCUCCUGAAUUGCUAAUCAUGAAGUCGUAACAAGACCUCAGUUUGAUCUUUGAGAGCCUUAAAGGAGCCCACAGCGUCCCCUGGUGCGUUCAUUUCUAUUAAACCACAUCUCUAUGUUCUCCAUUUGCACUGAAGUCAAGGAGAAGUCACAGAGGGGGUUUAGACCAUCACCCACGUCUCCUUUGAUCUAAAUUUCCCUAUUUGGUAGUUUCAGCACUGUGUGUGCCAAAGUGCAUUGUGUACCAAAUAUGCUGUGUUUCUUGGAAAAAUAACAGUGACACCAAAAGUCUGCAGUAGGGAGAGGUUAAAAAGCAAUCAAGUCUUUAUGACUUUGAUUUGAUUUGACCACAGGAGAACAACGACUUCUAUCCUUAUGAUAACCUCAUUAAGUAAGGCUGACUUUUAUGUCUGUCAACGUAAUUAUACAGCACAAUGCCUUUCUUUUCAUGUCAGUCUUUAUUUAAAGUAGAAUUAUGCAUGUGCAAUUAAGGAAAAACUUCUAAGAGUUAAAAUUUUUAUUCCAAAUUAGUUAGAGUCCCACAGCCCCCCAACACAGCUGCUGUGACCCAAUACUAUCAUGUACACAGAAUUAUUUUUCAGGCUUUUUGUACUGUCCCAUGUGGCCAUAUAAUUCAUGCAUUUGCCCAAAAAGAUAAUGAAUCAAUUUACCAUUGAAAGAAAUCCAGAAUUUUUUAAGUGAGAUUAACAGUAAAGUUAGUUAUUUAGACUUUUUUUCAAGCGUUGAGGCUCAAAACGCAAUAUUCAGCACACUGCUCAGUUUUAAGAUGGAACUGUGUUUAAUGUACUAUAUUGCUGUUGAAAUAUGGCGUUCAUGCGGCCUAUUUAACAGACUAUUAGUCAUAUAAGUGAAAUUAGGCUCCUGAGCUUGCAUUCUCACAAAAGCUACCAUUCAUCUGGUGUUCAGCCUACUCUUUAUCAUAUCUCAUAGGUCGCUGACCUCACUUUGCUUUAAGCAAAAACAAACUUUCUCUGCAAAGAUAUACGAGCCCAGACCCAGUCUGUGCUCUAAGGUGAAGAGCACAAUGUGUCUUUGCAGAAGGCUAUUUUGAGAUCACUUUGCUCUUGUAAAUGUUCAGUUGCCUGCUGCUGUAUUUUGUCUGUGAGAUUUAUUCCUGAGCUUUGGCUUGUGUGUGUGUGAACAAUCAAUAGGAACAUAACCUGUUUAAAGCAGGUUGGCGGGGUCACACUGGAGGGCUACUGACACCGAGUACCAGUUUUUUACUCACAAAGGAAAAAAGAGACACAUGAAAGACAAUUCAAAAUGUAAAUUCCUCACUUUUGACACUGAGCUUCGAGAAAAAUACUAUAUCACGAAUCGAUACACAGGUUGAGUGGAUUUUUUGUUUGCUUUAAUCCCUGGUGAACUUGAAGACAGCGGUUUAGGUCAGGGUUCAUCUGAAUAUAAUUCAACAUGUAAAUCAGUGUUUUACAAAGGAAAGAAAAUAAACAUCACAUGUAUUUAGGACAGCACUAAGCCUGUUGUUGUUGUUGUUUUCCUUUUCAAGGUCAGACUCCUUUUCUUUUUUUCCUUCAUUGUGUGCUGCAAGGAAUCUGUAUGAACCACAGAGCUGACCCUCUGCCACUCACCUGCCUCCCUCCCGUUAGUAGAGCUACUGCUGAGGCCUCCAGACAAGGUCAGACAUCUUUUUAUUUUCAUUAUUAUGUCUGUAUCUCUUAAGUACGAAAGAGGAUAAGGGCAACAAGGAGAAAAAAAAAUACAGAAGGAAGAUUUUUUUAUUUCCAUUUUAAUAUUAAAGUUGAACUUUUGAGAUUAAAGUUGAAUUUUUAAAAGUUGAAAUGAAAGUAAUCCAAAUUUCUAGAUUAAGGUCAAAACCUGAGAUUUAAAAAAUCGAAAUUAUGUGAAUAAAGUUGAAAUUUCAGGAUUUUAAUCACACAAUUACAACAUUAUUCAUGAUAUUUCUUUAUCUCGAAAUCUCAACUGUAAUCUCGAAAUUUCAAAUUUUAAUCUUGAAAUUUCGACCUUAAUCUCCUUCCUGUCAUUUUUUUUCUACUUUUCAUGUGGCCCUGAUUCUCUUUAGUACUUAUGUGAACAGAUACACUGAUUUUGUCUUUUGUUAAAUUAUACUCCAUGUUUUGAGCAGAUGCACAGGCUAUUCUGGCUGACCACACUCACCUCCUAAAUGCAGAGUACAAGCUGCUUCCAUCUGGUUACACGUACACUCCGCUUAGGUGUAGUUGUGUCACAGCAGAUUUGAACUUGCUUGAUUAACGUGCACUGAAACCCCUGAGAGUUUUGUGUUUACUUGCUUAAUUUGUGCUAAUGACUCACUUUCUAUGCACAAUGUUUGCAUGCCAUAUCCCGUCUACGGGAGUGUCCCAACACAUGAACUAUUGCAAGAGAUGCCUUUUCAGCCUCUUUACAUUGGGCAUAGUUGAGGUUGACUACAUUGCAAGGAUUUGUUAUGUUUAAGGAUUAUACAGUUUGACUGUACAAUUACAGUCUAAGAAUUAAUCACAGUCUCACAAUGAUUAUGCAUAGAUCAAUUUCAUAACAGUACUAAUGAACAAAAAGUCUGUCUCUCCAUUUGGAAUUUUUUUUAUUUAUUUUUUUAUUUUAACAAAAAUAACACAACAUGACAUAAACCACCAAUAGACAGAACAGUGAUAAUCACAAAAACAGACAAACGAAGCUAAUUAAAAACAAUUAACACAAGCACACACCAAAAACAUCAUUACAACAUAAAAUAUACAGUGCAUCAGCAAAUUAAUUAAUAAAUGCUUCCCACCUUUCCAAAUACUGUCCAACAUCCCCUUUCAUAUGAGCAGUAUACCCCUCAAAAAAAUGGACGUUUAAUAAACAUCUUAAAUUGCUUGAUAUUCAAAGAAUUUGCACUGUCAGCUUCAAAAAUAAAUCUCUUUCCCAACAAAAUAAUUAAAUUAAUAAUAUAACUUCUUGUUUCUGUAACAUCUCCAAGCAUAACAGAAAAUAAGUCACAUGUAAAACACAUCUUCAUAGCAAUACACAUUCUUUGAACCUCCCAAAGACUGACUGUAAUUACCAAUCAUCCUCAUUCCCUUUGAUUAAAGGUAUGUGUCCUAUUAAUACUGUGGGUCAUAAGAGCUCCAGGAAAUUGGUGAACACACUGGACAAAAAUAGGCUGUUCCUCCACAAUUAUUUCUCUUAAGUGGCAUUAGCUGGACAGCACACAAGGUGUCCAAGAGAAAUUGAGAGAGAGGGAGGAGAUGUGCCAGACUUAACCAGAAUUACCGACCUAAUAAUAAAGUAUGAGCUAUAACAGAGCAAUGUAACUUGAAAAAUGGACUCAUAUAGAAUUACUGAAUUCAGGUAAAGAACCUUAUUAUGAGUCUGAACUGGACUCUUAGCCGGAAUGUAGCAUAUUUAGAGAAAAAUAGCUCUGUUGAUUAUUUAAUAAAAAAAUAUAACAAAUACAAUUGAUAAUAAAUAUAACAAAAAAAAAAAUACUGGUAGCUUUGUCUUAUUUUUCUUUUUGCUACUGUUCAUUGUAAUGGAUGGAUAAUUAUUUUAUGUAUUUUUAUUAAUAAUCUCUGUUCUUAGUCUGUUUCUUAAUUCCCUCCAAUGAACUUUUUACUUCUUUUACCCCUUUUACAUGGUAAAGAGCUCUUACUUAUUUUUUUUUUCAUUUUAUAUCAUCUUCUUGCCUUAGUCCGUCAGGUUUUACUCUUUCUUUUUACCAUUUUUAUCUUUUUAUCUCCAGUGUUUCCCUACACUAAGCUCUGUCCUCAUGCAUAGUCUCGGUGUCAAGCCAUAUCUUUUAAACAAUAUGCACCUGUGUGUGUGUGUGUCUUUGUGUGUGCGUGUAGGUCUAUGGGUGUGUGUGUAGGUGGGUGGGAGGGUUUAAUUGUUGUUUUUAGCCUUUGUGAGGCACUUUGAAUUACAUUCUUGUACGAAAAGUGCCAUAUAAAUAAAGUUGAAUUUGAAUUUGAAAACAUGUCAACAAAAGCUGAAAGUUUUAUCAAACGAAAGGAAACAGAGCGCAUGAUUUCUGUGUAGUAAAUAUGUGAGUAUGGCAGAUCAGAGAGGUCACAUGAUUCAGCAAACAUUAAUCCCAUGUUGUUUGCUCUGAAUCCCUAAAAAAUAAUGCUUUGUUGAUUGGUGUAAAAUUCCAGUAAAAAUGGUAAAAAUUUACAGUAAAAGGUCUGAAAUAUCAAAACUGCAAUUAAUGUUGAAAUGUGAAUAUUAUGUGUUUUCUCUAAAAUUGUGUAAUUCAGUUUGUGUGUGUGUGUGUGUGUGUGUGUGUGUGUGUGUGUGUGUGUGUGUGUGUGUGUGUGUGUGUGUGUGUGUUGUAAAUUUUUCUAAAUAGUAUUUUUGAUCGUUUUUCACUUUUUGUAUAUAUUCUUGCACUGCACCUUGGAAGGCCGGCUGUGAAUAAAUACCACCAUCAAUGCAUUUUUGGACCAUGCCUGUGUUUUUCCACUGUAUUGUGAUUGUUCUGAGUGAGAACCCUGCGACAGUUCAAUAUUUUUGUGUUCCUGUAACGUCAAAGAUUGUCAGCAGUAAAUAAUAUAGCAAGUUUAGAGCACCAAUGAGUUUGCCCUUCUUGUACUGAAUAUACCAAGUAUCAAUUUUUCAAAUUGAUUGUUAAGAUGAAGUCAAAGCUAUGAUAAUGGAAAAAUAAAAUCAACUGUUUGUCCAGUGAGGUUGGCAAAUGUGACAUCAUAGAGCAGGAGAAAGUUAGUACAACAAUACGGCAGCAGGAAAGACAUUAGGAAUACAAGCAGGGCACAAACCAGAUGGACCUGCAAGAUGUGCUACAUGAAAAUAAAAUAUUGUGUAAAUAAGACAAACAUAAAGAAAAGACAGAUGCUAAAUAAGCUAAACAGUUGAAAAAAUGUAUAGAUCACAAUAUAUUGUAUCGCAAUACUCACUGUAUUGUAAAAUGUUGAAAAUCCCAAUAAUAUCUUAUGGCCCAAGUAGCGUGAUAAUAUCCUAUCGUGGGGCCACUACUGACUUCCACCCCUAGAAUAUACAGUAUUCUAGUUCAGUUUUGUCAACAUGAAGUGUCAGGCUGUUACAAAAAUACUCAAAUGCACAAUCACAGAAAAAGUAAGAUUUUUUUUAAUUAAGCAAUAUAUUUUACAAUGUGCUUUCUGAAUCUAAUAGGUCACUUACAGGGAAAAAAAAAAAAAAAACUCAUCUGAUCCGGAGAAAGCAUUGAGUGCAGUGUGAUGUGUGACCACUGUACUGGGGGAAAAAUGGUAAAAGCUCUCGUAGUGUAGAGAAUCUUGCCAGCAGAGUUUGGAGCGUUCUAAAAGUGCAUUAUAUCCACAGGAAGAGGCCCUGCUUAGACAUGAAAUUGACUCCUGCUGUUUGCAACUUCUUUCACUCAGCUGGAGUCCUUCAAUCUAAAGAGCCUGGGGUUUCCAGAGCCCUCUCCCUCGUUCUAGUGAUAAAAGUGGGUUGUAAACAAACAGCAGCGCUGCCCCGAGAAUACUGACGCCAGCAAAAAUGCUGAAUUUCUUCAUAAAAGCAACUAUUUGCAUCACAGUCUCAAGUUAAUACAUCAGGAUAGCAUACAACCCAUUUUUUUUUUAUUUCAUAACUGAACAACACACUUCAUCAACAGCUGAGGUCUGUAUGUCUCAUAAUUUGUCUAAAGCUAUUAGCAUUUAGCCAAAUUUACUCUCCAAAUGCCUCGGCUGCUGAUGAAAACGCACAAUCAAAAAUCACAGUGAUCACUUUGAUAUUAUAAGUGCUUGUGUUUCUGCAUGGUUUAAUGAAUUAUUCAUCAUGAAGCUUUGCUUUUGAUUCAGAUUAGCAUCAAUAAGUGAAAGUGCAAAGAUGGUCAUUUUGCCAGUAUACCUUUUAGUAACCAUGUAAACAAAUAACUGCACAGAUUUAUUUCACAAACACUUUCUAUGAGAAAUAACUUACUGAAAAACCUAUUAAGAGAGGAUGCACUUUAGGAGCCCACGGUGCCAUUACAGAAAUUAAUGUGAGAAAAUGAUUCACUAAAACGAGCAUUUACCCUCGAGUACAACAGGCUGUUAAAAGAGAAAUAUAGCGGCUGUUUCUCAGAACUGAGCUUAAGAUGGUUUUCAGCCUUUGCCAGAUAGAUGCAACAUACGUGGUGUUACUUAUUCCAAUGGAUUUAUGCAUCUCUUUGUUUUGAUGAAAGUCUUUGCAUUGUCAUCUCAAAGUGGUCAUGAUUUGUUCUUAUGGUUAAAAAAAAAGUUUUUCUUUAGUCUCAACAUAACCGCUUAACUCAUUCAGACGUUGUCAAGCUGCAGAGAAGGACAGCACUUUUUCACUGGUCUGUCAAGUGCAUGUUGCUUUUAACAUGUAGCUUAAAAAUAGGGUUUUAAGCACAUCACUAUUCAUGAUUCUACCAAAGAAACAAUUUUGUCGGAGCAUUUUCAACUGUCAUUGUUUUCAUUUUGCAUUUUUGCAAGCAGAUCUCACUAAUUCAAUUUAUCAGUUUGUUUACCCUAAAAAAGGCAUCACAAUCCAACAUCAAGUACAGGCGUAACUGCAACACCCACUGACAUCUAAGGGUUACACUAAAUACAUGACAUUUCAACAGUUUUAUUGCUGAGUUAAGCUGCACUUUUUCGAGUUUUGCUUUGUGCAUUUAUUUAUAUUGAUUUUUGAAAGCUCAGCUGCUUCUUCUUUUUUGUCAUCAAAAGGCACAAUAAGUCUGUCACUGUCAGCUAAGGAUACAAAACUCUGACUAGAAAAGUAAAGAUGUGGAUGUAGGAAUGAAGAAGAUUCAUUGAUGCAGCUGUUGUGUGACAACUCCGGAUAUAUAAUGAGAAAAUAUACAGGGUUGCUUUUGUGCUUUGGUGUGUGUGUUUGAAGGUGAAAGUACAACUACAAAUAAAACUCACCUGUCCAUUUCAUUACAGACACUGAAUAACUCUUUCUCCCUGGAAACAUAAUUCAGAGGAUAAGUACUUUCAUGCACUGGCUUAAAUGCAGUGCUUUAACUGAAAAUAAACAGAUGAAAAUCUGUUUGAGGACUGUUGGUCAACCACCCAUCAAAUGCACUGACCUGCUUGUAGAACCACUCUGCUACAAAGCUGAUAGAAACAUCUUUAAAAACUUAAGCAUUGAAAUUAAGAAAGAGAGAUUUUCAAUAAUUAUUUAUACACAAAUAAUCAAAUAAAUAAAAAGAAAUAGCUGUAUUGCAGCAAACAAAACAACAGCAUUUAACAGUUUUAAGUUGUUUUAUUUACUGACCACCAUCAAGAACAAAAACUGCAACAGCAAAGUAAAUCGAAUACAAAAAGAGAAGAAGGGAAAAAAAAAAAAACAUCUCACAGUUGGGAGCCAGCUCCCAUUGUUCACAUUAAAGAGAUGGCUUUUUGAACUUGUUCCUUCACAACUGACACAUCACUAUUCAUCGAAAGAACUGUGAGUUACCAGCUCAGAUUUUGUUCCUGUUGUUCUGUUUGUUUUGCUUCAUAGUUCUUGUAUUUUUCUGAUAAUUCAUGCAACUGUAUAUGAAACAUCAGCCACAUGGUUGAACAAAGUCAUGUCGUCACAGUCCUUUAUAUCAGCAUGCUAAUUAUUCCGCCUUCCCAUGGGAGAAAAAAAACCCACUUAGGAUUUACUUUGUUUCACAACUGUGAGUCAUUAUUAUUUUGGCAUUCAAGGUUUUAGUUAAACCUUAAAUGCAGUUAGUCAUAAAGCACAUGCCAUUUUCAUGGAGUAAUUAGGAUGCAUAAUGUAUUAUGUUGAAUACACACCCAGUGGUCUCUUAAUGUCUCACCAUGUUGAAUUUAAAAGAAAAAAUUGACAUGAACUUUCCUCAGCGUGUAUAGGGAGCAUUAUGUGCCUGUAACAGACAUUGACUGGAGCUGUUAGGCAGAAGCAGCUGUGUUUUAUAAUGCAGUUUGCAUUCUCUGUUCCCCAUUAAACCCAUUCCUCGGGACAGACUCGAACUUGUGACCCCUCUAUUAGCCUUCAUGCACCCGCCCUGGUGAUUAGAGGAACAUUAGGAAAUUAAAGGCAAAUUGCAUUACCAGAGAAACAGACGGAGGUGCUGCUGAGGACCCAACAUGCACAGAACCUGCUGAUGCUCAGACUUUCCAUCCCUUUCAUCGGCCAAUGUGUGGUGCUUAAUGUCACCCUGCAGGUAGCAAUUUCUCAGGUGGUACAUUCUGAUAAAGGAAAAGACAGAGUGAGUGUUUUAAUCUCAAAGCUGGGUUAUGUGUUAGGGAAGACUGUAAAGUUAUUUUAGCCCUCAAAGUACUCAGGCAUAUUAAUAAGAUGCAAAUCACUUCACAACAUGCAGAAACUGUGUUAACACAUACUCAGGGGUUCUGAGGAAAUAUGUCCCUCAUCUGUAACUAUUUUGAGCAGAUAAAAUGUGAUGAUGCAGCCAGAGAAAAAGAUAAAUUGAUCCCCAGCAGAAUUUAUGUUUCUCUCAGUGGGGCAGUAUGCUGUAAGCACUUCACCAACACACUGCUGUAUAUGUAGCACUGUGUGUCAGCAGCACUAGUGGCAAAAAAGAGAAAUGUUGCAAUCACCAGACAUUUGGUGGCCAAACCUUCAUGGUUUUCAGUGAAAAAAAAAGUGGGCUUCAUCCUAUAUACCAGUGCAAGCAAUAUCCUAGCAUGAAAUGCAGGGAUGUAUUUGAUCAAAAUAGUGUUUGAAUUAAGCUUAAGCCUCAACACAGACGAAUGCAGUAACUAAUGCUAGCACAGCCACCAUCACAGCUCACUGCACUUAACCUGAUGGGACUGAAAAUUUGAAUGGAAGAGGCCUUUGCAGCUGUGGUGGUGCUACUUUUUGACAGCUUUUCUCCUUAAUUAGGUUGUAAUUAUGCAUUUCAAGAAAACAGAGGAAUAAAAUUGCAGAGAACACCCGGUGGAGUGCUUGAAAAAAAUCCUUAUCAGUGCAGUCAAAUGACGAGUGGGGGAGGGUAGCAGGUCAGCGUAAACUGGUUUGCAGGCAGUGCAUCACAGCUAAGGUUAUGAAAUCACAGACUAAAGAAAUGAAGGUUACGAAGACGUGCUGCAGAAAAAAUAACUUCCUGUGCCAUGGGUGCCUUGAGCUACUCAGACCAGUAUUCUUUAUUAUUGUGAGAUAGGGCAAAUUUUGGAAUUUUUGCAUUUAACUCUAUAAAAAUGGCCAGAGUCUUUAGUAAAAAAUGACACAAAAGGAUCUUAAUGAGUUUUAUGAGGUGUCAAAGGUUGAUCCUGAUCCAGACAAAAUUCCAGAUACUGUGAUCCAGAACACACAAAAAUAAGGGUGUCGUUGGAAUUUUCAAUGCUGAAAGAUAACCAAUGGGUGGCACAGUGGCGUAGAUGGGUGGCACAGUGGUGUAGUGGUUAGCACUGUCGCCUCACAGCAAGAAGGUCCUGGGUUCGAAUCCGGGUCAGGGCAUUUCU
rnacentral:lncRNA from 1 species